rnacentral:lncRNA from 1 species
AGUCAAAAAAGUGAUAUUUAGCUAUAACUCUGUUACUUUUAGGGGCCGUUUGGUUAGAUGUAAUUAUAAAUGUAGUGUAGUUAGAGAUGCAUGUAGUUGAAAAUACAGCAGUUAUAACUACAUGAAUCUUGUUUGGUUGGAUGUAGUGAAAAACGCUGCAAGUAUAAAUAAUUUAUUUGGUUGCAUACAGUUGAGAAAUAAUUUUUAAAAUUUUAUUAUUUUUAUAUAUAUGAUGGUGAGAUUACCUCCAAUGUAAAAAAGAAAAAUAAUUUUUGUUUAAAAAAUAUUGAGGAGGUAAGCAAACCUUUUAUUUAAAAUUUCUCUCUCCAACUGAUGUAGUUGGAACUGCGGCCAAUUUGGGCGUAGUUCGAACUGCUGCAAUUGAGCCUCCUCCUGCAAUUCCUACUGCAGUGAUUGGAGUUAAAUACAUUAAACCAAACACGAAAUUUGUAUUUACAUGCAGUUACAACUGCAGUGCAGUUGCAACUACAUGCAACCAAACGGUUUAUAUCCAUUUUCGCAAAUCAAAUAGCUGAUAAAGCGUUACUUUCUGAAAGCAAGAUUUUUAAUUUUAUUUAUUUUUUUGAAAGAACACCAUUAAAACAUUUAUUCCACAGGAUAAACAAUCACAGACUCCUCAAACUCUUCAAAACAGACCCAACUAGAAGCUACCUGGGAGGCAAAGCUUCAUUUUAGCUAGAUAGUUUAUUAGUACUUUGUGAAAAUGGACCAUAUCUGGAAGACCAUCCUAUAAGAAUAUUGUUGUUAUUGGAUUUCAAAAGGCGACGAAACGAAACAAUUUGCUAUCUAUGCUAAUUGCAGUGAAAUCUGAAUAUGUCGAUCAGCCGACCAAUCAUGCCCUCAAUGAAAGCGGUCUCAACACUGCAGACAGUGCAUACCCAAAUGCCAGUCGAGCGGUUGAUCGGAAGUCGAUUCCCCACCUGCACGUUUGUUGAAAGCAGCAUUCAAGCUCCCCGCAUCCUGGGGAACUCAAACAUAAAUAUGACGUUAACACCCUAGUACGAUUUCAAUUCAUUCAACAAAAGAGAAAAAAAAGUGGAUUUUUUCUCAUAAUUUGACGUGGGAGCUGGCGAUAAUUCAUUUGCUAUUAAUUAUAUAUUAUUUUAUCAACAAUCCAAAAUUACUCUCCUUCUAGAAACAGUUACGUUAUUAUCAAUAUUAUUACUGUAAAAUUACGUGCUAGAUUUGAAAAUAUAGUCAAAAUCUUGAGCUGUUAGAAAUACGAAACCAAUUCACUUGGGCCGUGUUUGGUAAUAGGAUAAUUUUUGCAGGGUUAAAUUUUUUUUAUUCCUAGAAUAUCUCAAUAUUCUAUGAUAGAGAGGAUUGAAAAUAAUUUUUUGUUUAGCAAAAUUUGUACUUAUUCUCUGCAAUAGACAAAAUGAUGUUUGAUAACUUUCUUGAAAGAAAAAAAAAAAUAGUUAGUAAAGUUGAUUGAAAUAUUUAAAAAUACCAAGUUUGCCCUUGUAUAUACCGUGAAUUUUUUUCUUUGUAUAAUACAUAUACAAUACUUGAUAAAUUUUAAUAUAAUUUUUUCAAAUAUAAUUACAAUACAAAAAUUAUAAUUAAAAAAUAAUAAUAUUUUUCUACUGAGCAAUGCAAUAUGCAGUAAGUAAGAUAAUUUUAAAUUAAUUUAUACAAUUAGAAAUCAAUAAUAUAUGCAAUAGUAUCUAAUUUAUUUAGCUGUCAAUCAUUUCACAUAGUUAAACAAAAAUCCUAAUAUAAAUAUAUUGGACUAACCAAAUCUCUACGUACUUGGCAUUCGGAAAAGAGAUGAGAGCUUUGGUAGGUGGGUAAAGUGGCGCCGAGAAGGCCUUGCUGCCCCUCGGGUUCCAGGAAUAAACCUUAUUCCAUGGUUGGGAAAGAAUAAAAUUAACGGAUUAUUCCAGUGAAAAUUGGAAUAACCUGUUUUGACCGGUAUAAAUUAUUCCGGUAUUUUUUUUUUCCGUUUGGCAUAAUAACGAGAAUAAAUUUGAUUAUUCUGCAGUUAUUCCGUUACCAAAUGGAGUCUUAAAGCGUAUAAAUACAAUGCCCACGGGUCUCGAUUGUAACUCGGCCCAACCAGCCUCACGCCACUUCAAAUAUAACUCGGCCCAACCCAGCAUCACGCCAUUUCGAAUAAGACUCGACCCAUAUGGCCUCCCGCCACAAAACAGGAUGCUGGCCUAUUUAAGCCAACAGUCAUAUCCAAAUGAAUUUGAUCUUAUACCCAAUAACAAAAUGGAAUGUAAAUAAGAGGUAUCCAAAAAAUAGACAGCACGUAUCACUAGGGGUGUAAACGAGCCGAAUACGAACUGGCUCGUUAAAGUAUCGAGCCGAAAAAUUCAGCUCGUGUUCGGCUUGUUAAUAAACGAGCCGAACAUGAGCUGGCUCAUGAGCUGGCCAACGAACAAUAAGUUAAAACGGAUUAGAUUUAAUAUAUAUAAAAAAUAAAUUUAUAAAAUCUUAUCUAUUAGACUUUAAUCUCAUAGUUGAAACUUUAUAUAUAAAUGAGUCUUUUUAUAAUUAAGCUUGCAUUUAUAUUUUUAUUUUGCUAAAAAUUAAAUAAUAAAAAUAUAUAUUAUAUAUAAUUAUUUAUUUAUAUAUAAAAAUAUAAAUUAAAUAAAUUAUAUAAAUAUAAAAUAUAUAUAUUCNCGUAUUUCUAACAGCUCGAGCUUUUGGGAUUAAUGGUUAGCGCCAACGAUCCGACAUUAAUCACGUUCGUCCAUCAAAAGCGUAAAUAAUUAAUAUAUGUCAACUGUUGGAUCGGCUUUAUCCUUAUGGGGAUCGCUUUGAAUAAAUCAUAUAAAUCACAUCCAACAAUUUCCUCAAAUGGAGUAAGAAAAUUAUUAUAAUAAUUAUCAGGACAAAGUAUAUUCUUUUCAAGCACAACACACUCAACUAUAUAUCAGGGGAUUACAAGGAGUAUGCAUUACGUAUAGUGAGAACUUACGAAAGAAAAAAAAUUUGGGUUUAUAUUUUUGUAACAAAUAUAUAUAUAGCCAGCCAGUAGACUGAUCCAAUUAUGAUAUAAUAUGUGAAGUCCAAGUAAAGAGCGAAUCUCUAUGCCGACUAGUUUAGUAUAUAAGAUUUAUAGUUCUAGUAGAAAGCGAAUAUCUAUAUGCUACAGUACUGGUUCAUUAAGAUUUAACAUUUACGAAAAUGGAUAAAAAUAUUUCUAACACUCAAUAUCAACCAUCCUCAUGUACAUGGUUCAUUAAUUUGGUAGACUAUGUAGACCCUUUUGAGAGGAUUUGGGUCGAAAAUUUUUUUUUUCUCACAAUCAAUUUUACAGUAUUUAAUCUGCUGAUUGGGCUUAUUAGAAAUGUUUUAGAAUAUAUAUUUGAAGAUGCCAUAAAUUAACUUUUAUAAAUUUUAAUAUUUUCUAUUAAUUAGUUCAUCAAGUCAUUUCUAGUUUGACUAUGUUAAUGAUGAUUGGAUAGAGUUGCUAUUUUAAUAUAUAAAUAAAUAUAAUUUGAAUAUAUCGAAAUAUUGUAAUAAUAUGUUUUUUUGAUGCCAUGAUAAAAAAUGAUGACUUGUUUUUAAUUAAUAAAGAUAAAGAAAAAUAAGUAAAAAUUCGUACCUAUUAGCUAGAUUUUGGCCGUAUAUUCGGCCAAAAUCCGGCCAAGAAGCAGGAGUGAAGGGAAGUAAAAAAGAAGGAAAGUCAAUAGAAAUGCUUGGAAAAUGAAAGAAAAGUCAUUAUCUUUUUAUUACAAGAAGAUACGACUUUUUCUUCUUCUUGUUUCCUUUUAUAUAUUCUAGCAUUUUGGUUAGAUUUUGGCCAGGGGCCAAAAUUUGGCCAAUAGUUAAGGAUUUUUGUUUAUUUUUCCUUGCCAUUUUUUUUUUCUUACUACCUUUUGACCUUUUUUUUUUUUUUUUUCCUNUUUUCCUUGCCAUUUUUUUUUCUUACUACCUUUUGACCUUUUUUUUUUUUUCCUAUAUAUGAUCUACACUAUAAUCAUUUAGAUCUUCACCUCCAUUUUGCUUUGCUCUCUCACUACUCGGAACUACCCACUCUUCUAAUUUGUCAGAUGCCACUAAUUUAAUGUAUGUUUUUCCUAACUUAACAAACUCGAUCGGAGAUCGAAAUGUUCUGCUAUACGUUGAGGGACGGUACGUAGUUGGACCAAGUGUAUAAUCUGAGUGAUUUUUUUCGACCAUCAUAUUAAUUAUUCUAUAUUUUUCUAUAUUAUGAACUUAUCUAUAAAAGCCCAACCUUCUAGUAAUAAUAGCUCACUAGGCCUAAACUAGUGGCCUAAAAUGCUUAAUCUCAGUUUUUAAUACUAGUGUUCAUGAUCUCUUAUAUUCUUAAUCAUAAUUUCAUUUUCAUCCAAUAUGAGACUAUUGUGGUAUCACUUACUCCCUCCGUUUAGGUCUUGGCAUUCUUGUCAGUCUACUACAUAUACAGUCUAAGAUCAUCAAGCGAUGUGAGGCAUACCUUAUACUUUUGGUUGGUGAACUCGGCUCUGAUACCAAAUAUCAUGUCUUGCUUUCUAAGAGGAUACCCAUCCUAAAAUUACUUUAGCCCUAGCACACUUAACCCUCUUAACCUCUUAGCCCAAAUCAUCAUUCAAAAUGUUAUAUCAAAAUUAAAAAUCUCACAAGCACCAAGCUUUUAUUGCAAAUGUCAAGUUCCACUUCUCGGGACGGUACCCAUUCUAGAAUUACUCUAGCUCUAGUAUGCUUAACCCUCUUAAUCUUUUGCCUAAUGCACAUCCUGCUUUUCGGCGGUUACUCAUCUUAGAACUACUCUACUGCUAGCAUCUUAACCCUCUUAAUAUUUUACUAAAUGGCAUGUCGCUUAACCCUGUUAAUUUUUUAGCUUUAGCUACCACCCAUGAUGCUAUAGUGAGUUCAGAAAACUACAAGUACCAAAUGAUAUGAGAUUCGUCUCGCUAGUCUUAACCGAUCUUGUGGGACCUACACUCUACUUGCUCUAUGAUUCUGACUCAGCUAUGACUUAUCUCACACUUUCGGCUGGUGAUUGACUCUAAUAACAAAUGUAACGUCCCAGUCCAUUAGUAAUAAUAAUUCGUUGUACCCAAACUACUGGCCCAAAAUCUUUCAACCCAAUUAUUAUUAUUAGAGUUAACUCCAAUCUUAUGUGGAACUAUUGAGGUGUUAAAUUCUCUUUUAUCUAGUUUUACAGGUACUUAUGUCUUAUGUCGGACCUUCUUUCUUUAUUUAGAAAUAAGCUUAUUUUAAUUCCUAAAACUCUAUAUUAUUGUAAUCAAACACUACUUUUGUAAUAAAAUGUUUACUGGCCUUACUCAAAAAAAAAAGUUUUGAAUAAAGAGAUUUUAUACCUUGUUUUUUGAGCCUAUUUGUUUCACACCAUAUAUUCAAUUUUCUCUUUAAUUACUUGAUAUAUAUGUAAAAGUAGCGACUAAGAUCAGUUCAUACAUUGUACAUUCAAUGGCAGUAAAUAUCGAUUUUGAGGAACGAUUUAAACAAUGUAUGAUCAUAGAAGGAAUGCAUUUUCGAGUUUUAAUAUUACCAAUUGAAACUUGGUCUUUAGAUGGCCAAGUUGUUGGAUUGCAACCUAUGUUGGACUUAAUUUAAACCUAGCACUGCUAUGUAUUUAAACUCUAUUGCUUAUGAACUAACACUUUUUUAUUUAGAAACUGUUUCUAGUUUAUACUGGUUAGUUAUGUUAGUUUGGAUAUGUGUUAAAUCUCCGCUGUUUAUGAAUUACAUUUUUUUAUUCAGAAAUUGCUUCUGUUUUAAGUUGGCUAGCAAGGUUAAUUUGGAUUAGAAAACAAUAAUAGAAUCCUAACUCUCAUCUGUGUGAUCAUGUAUGAGAGGUGCUCUUUCUAUUUUAAAUUGUUAACGAAGUUAAUUUGGAUUAAAAAAACCAUUACUUAGGACAAUAGAAUCACAACCCCUCAUCAUGUGUGAUCAUCUAUGAGAGGUGCUCCUCCUAUUUUAAAUUGGUUAGCGAGGUUAAUUUGGAUUAAAAAACCAUUAGUUAGGACAAUGUAUAGACACUACAACAGAAUUAGAUUAUAGGGACACAUGUUUGGGACACUUUUGAGUAAGUGUUCCAUUUAUACUAAAACUUAAAAACACAUCUACUAAUGCCUAAAUAUAAAGUCCAAUCCAACUAAAAAUAAAAGAUUACUCUACUCAACCCAUCACACCCAGUCCAUUUGGCCCGAUUACAAAAGAAAAGAAAAAAAAAAGAAAAAUCAAUUAUCAUCUUUUCUUCUCUCUUCACUCAAUCCACUGAAAUUCUAGAUGAAGAGUCUUUACUGUCGUCCUCCUCCGCCACCGCAGCCAGCGAGAUAGAGUUUCGGCGGUUGCUAAAUGCUUAAAUAAGUGUUGGUAAAUUAGCAACACUCUUUUAGGUUAUAGCGACACUCUUUAACUGUCACUAUAUACCUAGCGACCCCACAUAUAGCAAUACUUUUUAAAAGUGUCGGUAAUUUUAGCUAGCAGCACUUUUUUGACAUAUACCUACAUUUAAAAGUGUCGCUAUAAACCGUUUUUGUUUUAGUGAGAAUCCCAACAUUUAUCAUGUAUGAUCUUUUACGAAAGGUCCUUCUAUACAAGGAUUUAAGUGUCCAUCAGCACAGAUCGUAUCCACCAUGCCGUAUCAUGCCAACAAAUUAUCAGCAUGAUACAGCAUCCGUGCUGAUGGUACGGUUCAAAAUUCUUUAUUCUUUAAAUUAGUAAAUAAUUUUCUCAAUUAAGUUCAAAGAUUUGAUAAAGAUACAUAAUAAACAGUUAGAAUAGUUUGUUGCUAAAGGAUAUAAAUAUUUUAUGCCAUCAUAUGUCGCCACAUAUAUAUUUUUUGUGAUCGGCACUCAUAGGCAUGGCCCGGUACGCACUGUGCCGUACCGUGCCUGUAAGUUUCUGACACGCCCUGUGCCAUGACAGUAAAAUCCUUGCUUCUAUGGAUGUUACAAGACAAGUUAGAAUUUACUAUUUAGUGGUGGUAUUAAUAUGGAUUCUAGGGUUAGAAAGUUGAUAGUAUUCCAACUCAAUAGCAUUCUAGCUAUAGAGAUUUUUGACUUGAAGUGUAAUUAGACCGAGUACUCAUGCUGGGCUAAGCAGCCCAUGCAUGGCCUUGGGCUGGCCUGGCCCAUUUUAUUUUACAUCGAGUGCAUGCACAAGUGUAUUCCAUCACAUCAAUCAUCUGAUUACCUAAGAGAGUGUUUGGUUUUGCGUAAAACUAACUCAAAAUUAUUUUCGGUUCAAUUUUUUUUUUUUCACUCGUUUGUUCCGUCAUAAAUGUAUUUUUUUUGCAAAAUGCUUUCACAUAUUUGUCAAUUUUUUGAAAACGAAAACUCAACCAACGAACAUAUGUAGCCUACGAGGUGCAAGCUUGACGCGAUCUACAUAAAUGAGUGAAAAUUUGACUCUAUGAAAAAGUAAAAAUAUUGUGUACACCAGGUGUAUUGCAUAUAUACACUAUUUUUUUUUUAUAUAUCAUCAAUCUUCUACUAUAUUUUAAUAUAUAUAUACAUAUAAUUGGAUAUUUACUGGUUGUUUUUAUAUAUAAAAUUCUAAUAGUUAAAUUAAAAAUAUGAGAUAGACUAGACAAGUGAUUGAAGUGUGGUGCAUGAGUGCACACAAUAAAAUGAAUUUUAUAAUUUUUCAUUUCCAUUUCCUAUCAUCCAAGCAAGGGUAGCGCUAUGGAAAAUUUAAUUUCCUUUCCUACGGACCAAGCACUAAACUUAAAUUUUUUUCACUAAAAAUUAUUUUUUUUAUAGUUUUACGUGGAACCAAACAAUUCCUAAUUUAUGUUUGACAUUCUAAUCCAAUCCCUUCCUCCUAUCUCUCCUUCUCAUUCAUGCAAAAGCUAGUCCUCCUCCCCUUCAACUUUCUAACUCAAAAUUCUAAUUUAAAUUUAGAAUUUAUAUUUUAAAUAUAUAUAUUUCAAAUUCAGAUGCGAAUUUGAAUUCAAUUAAAAAUAUAUAUUUUUAAAGUGUAUAUUCUUUUUCUUUUUUUCUUUUUUCUUUUUUUUAAGUGUAUAUUCAAUGUUGGGUUAGUGAUAUUAAAUUCACUUAUUAGCCUAGUUGGCUUUAUUUUGGAUUUGGUUCAACAACUCAUAUAAUGAUCUAUUUAGUAAUUAGUUUGGGCUUUAGUUGACCCAUUUUGGCAUAUUGGGCCAAGUGAUGUUAAGAGAGGAUUCUCUUUGGGUUUAGAAAGAGAGAGUUCUCAUUUUUGCUCUCACGGGUUCUCUUUUCUUGAGAUAGAGAAGAGAGGUAUCGAGAGGGUUGGAAAAGGAGCUCUUUUAUUCUUCUUUGUUAGAAUUUUGUUAGAUUUGUAGAUUAAUUAUAGUUGGAUUAGGAUUAAUAUUGAAAUCUGUUGGAGAUAAAUUAAGAUUUACAUAUUAAUUAGAGUAUGAAUCUAACUAGAUUAGGAUAAAUAUUUAAAUCUAUUUGUGAGAUACCGAACCUUAGCAAAUUGGCAAAGUUACAUUAUAAGUUUAUGUUUGAUUGAGUUUGAGACGUUUUGCGCAAAAUAGACGUAAAAACGGACUUUGAAACUCAAGAUUUAUAUUGUAGAGGAAUAAGUGGAAUACUUAGUUAUAGAGGGGCUUGUUGGCAAUUUUGCUUUCUUAAAGCGGUGGAGUCCACGUGCUUCCCCUAUCCUUAUCCCCACCACUUUAAUUAGUUGUGGAGAGGCAGGGAAUGAUGUUAAUUAUCCUUUCCCUUUCUCUCUCGAGCUUAAUUGUAUGCUUGGUGGAGGCCACGACGGUUUGAGCUCGGAUCGACGUCGGCGUUGCGCCGAAGAGCCGUUCGAGCGUGUGGACGUCACGGUUGCGCCGUUGGAGGCCGAGCGAGCGCGUGGUUUCCCUUCUCUCGACUUCUCGCCGUGGUUGGGUUAGCGUUUCUAGGUGGGUUGAUGUUAAGUUACCGAAAUUUUCGGAUUUCCUCCUAAGCUUCAGUUGAUAGCAUGUAUUAUUGGAUUUAGUAUGUCAUGUUUAAUAGCUCGAUUCGUAGAUUUGCAUUGUUCUUAAAUGAAAUCUGAAUUGGAGCUUAGAAUGCUAGAUUUACUAUACAUGUUGGACUUGGAUUUGACUUAGGAGAAAACAUAUAGAUCCUACACCGUCACUUUCUGAAAAUUACCAGAUUUAGUUUCUGAAGCUGUUGCGCCUUGUAUCCACGCUGUUAGUGCGCAUUUGAUACUCAGGUAGCUUCUGAAGCUGUUGCAUCUUGUAUCCAUGCUGUUAGUGUGCAUUUGAUACUCGGAUAGCUUCUGAAGCUGUUGUGCUUGCAUCCACGCUGUUAGUGCGCAUUUGAUACUCGGAUAGCUUUAGGCGUUGUUGUUCAUUUGUAUAGCCGCUGUUUGUAUGCGGUAGAUACCUAGAUUAGUGUAGGAUGAGUUUACGCUCGUGCUGAGAUGCCGAAUUUAUUUUUAUAGUAGUGUGUAGACUGUUUCGGACUGUCGGGUGCCAUUGCGGUUGACGGUGGACUUAGAUUACUAUUUUUGCAUCAGAUUGUGCCAAGGGCAUGUGAGUUUUGGUUGUUAGACCAGUUAGACCCAUUUGCUUUGAUUAUAGUCUGUGAGAGCCUAAUUGAGUUCGGCAGAAAUACGUUUGCAUACUCGGUUGGGUAGCGUCCACGAGUGCCACUGCGGAGUCGGGCUUUAUGCUUUUGUGUUGUUGUCGGUUUGUCCUGGUUGGACUUGCUCUCCACUGAUGACCCAACGUGGUGGUAGUUAGUGUAGCUUCGGAAGGCGGGACCGGUGUGUUCACAGUCCCUAGUGAGAUUGGGCCAGAGAUUGCAUUUUCUACAGAUAGUUAGUGUUGGAUCGAGAUAGUAUUGUCACGCCCCGCGACCGCUCGCCUAUUUGGCCGGGUCGCGGUGCCGUCAACAGACCGCCGAACGGACAGAGUUUCCCCUGUACGUCCUAGGCGUCGCAAUCAAAACAAUGAACGAGUGUUCCAACCAGGAACUGAUAUCAAUCGAGAUUGCUUAAGGAAGUAUCAAUAACAUAAAACUAACUGCUAUUACAAGCAUUCAUUUCAUACAAUAUUUUUCUUUUAUAUUUACUUAACUUUCAAAUACAAUCACAUUAUUAUAUUUGAUUUACAAGUUUGAUACAUCUUGGUUCACUAUCCUCUAGUCCCCUAAGCUAGACUGCCUCAGGGUUCUGCUACCUCGGUCUCUGUGGUAGAGCGCUAUCUACAAAGCUAUGCCCUUGCCUCGCGCCGCCGCGCCGCUCACGUGUGUACCUGUAACACCCCAAAACAACGUAGGGUGAGAACCAACUCCAUGGUUCCCAGAUGUACGACCACCCAAGGAAAAAGCUAGACCAAUAGGUCCGAGGAGGCACUGCAAUAUGUUAGAUCAACAAUAUACAACAGAUAUAUAUUCAAAUUGAAAUACAUGCCAUGCCUCACAAUAUGCGAAUGAAAUCAUGCAACUCUAUGCAAGUAGAUUAAUUGAUUCUACUUCCUAUUAUUAGCCAUUCUUUACUUGUAGCCGUUCUUUACUUUAUUAGCUAUUCUUUAUCAUUAGCUUUUCUCUAGUCCUUACUUGGUCACAUUAUGCUCAUUGGCGAUUCUUUUCUAAGGUUGCUCAUGCCUUAGCUAUCUAUGCCACUCGACUCGGUCUUGAGUCAAUCCUCUGCGGAUAGUCCGCACAUUGGCUGCUUAACAGCCAAACACACUCGAUGACUCAGCCACCCGGCGGCGAAGUCAUCGCACACGCUCAGCUCUUGCUCAAGUCAUCCUGCGGCAUAAUCCACAAACCGGCUCAACCAUCCGGCGGCAAAAUCGUCGCACACGCCACGACAAUGGUUCUUUAGCCCCAGGCGGCGAAAUCAUCGCACGCACCCCGCACCACUCUGGGUGUUCCACAAGUCCUGGGAUUCCGGAAUCCACUUCACAUUACUCAAGGAUUGGUCUUAACCCUAUGGAAUUGACCUAUCUAGGUCCAAGCCUUUACUCAACCUAAGUUAAUAUUUUAGGUUCGUUGCUCUCUACUCAUAGCCUAGGUUUGUUAACACUAGAUCCAUUAUUCUCGUCUACCUAGAUUCACUUGACUCUAGGUUCUUACUUUUACCUUACAAUCUAUGUUCUCUAACAUUAGGAUUAAUGCCUUUCUCGUUAACCUAUGUUCAUUAACACUAGGCUCAUUAUCACUCUUGUUCAACCUAUGUCCUUGACGCUAGGUCCAUUGUCAUUCUUGUUCAACCUAUGUUCAUUAACACUAGGCUCGAUGCCACUCAAUCUUUUCUAGGUUCAUGACACUAGGUUCAAUGCCACUCGAUCUAUGUGUAUAUAAAUGUUCGCAUGCACAUGUCAUAUAUUUAACCUCUUUACAUUAAGAUCUCCACAAACAUGCUUGUCAUAUAUUUUUUUUAGCAUUCUUAUUUCAUAUCUAUAUGCAUUCUUACAUUAGCAUUUUACCAUAUGCAUCAUCUAUGUCAUUUCAUUAACAUGCAUCAAUAUGAAUUCGUAUGUUUCUUAGACAAAAAGGGUGAUCUAGUCGCUUCGGUAAACACAACCCAUCUUAAAUCGCUUUCCGAUUGCUCGUCGACACUUGCAAAAGGCCUUCCGCGGCACUCCGCACCCGUUUGGGCCCGAUCUUGUAGUAGCACUCUAAUAGCGCGUCGCUUCGCCACUACAAGAGUUAAAGGUCUUUGCCUUGCUAUUAUGGCGCUCGGGACUCGAUCUCGCUAUUUAUGGACGUCGUCUCGGCCUUCCAGGCGGAAACGAAGCUCCAAACGUCUGUUUCUUCAAUAUCUUUGUAACGGCUUGUCGGAUUGCCGAACCGACUUCGCCAACGCGUUUCGUUACCUAUCAAUUAGGUUUAUGGAGGGUCAAAUAAGAUCAAACCCUCCCAAAUCACAAAACCCUAUUUUGGAUGCUCUAGAUGCUAUUACUACCAAAUCCACCAAAUUGAUCUAUGAUUUGGGCACAAUACAUCUCAAUAGCAUGAUAGGGUACCAAAAAUAUCAUUUCUAGGGUUUGAAAUCCCCUCCUUAAAGAUUUACCAUGAGAUGAGGCAAAGAGCUUACCUCUCUAGGUUGCUCCAAGCACGAGGAAGACGAAGGAGAGGAUGAAGAUCUCCUUCUUUAUUUUCUUCUCCUUCUUCUCUUCUCUUUUCCUUCUCUUUCUUCUUCUCCUCUUCUCCUUUUCCCUCUUCUUCACGCACAGAGAGAGAGAGAGGAGGAGGUGGGAGAGUGAGGGAGUGAGAGAAAGAGAGAGAGAAACCCUCUCUUAAUCCCCUCUCAUAUUGUAACAAAAUGCUAAGAAGCCCCUCAACUUUCCAUCUCUCAACUGGCCCUCACUGGGCUGAACCUAUGCGAAGGGACCGAUCUCCCCGACAUGGGACCGAUCCCAGAGGACCUUCCCAUUUUCCACGCGUUCGGGAACCGGUCUCUCCCUGAGGGAUCGGUCCCCCGGAGACCGGUCUGCCCACUAAAGACCGGUCCCCGAGAGCUCGUCUCGCGGGGCUUAGCCAAUUUUUGGCCAUUCUCGCUGGUAUCGCCUGCGGGGACCGGUCCCUCCCUGCCAGGGACCGGUUGCAUCAGCAACCCCGCAACCCUCAGCCGAUGGGACCGGUCUCUCCCCGCCAAAUACCGGUCCCCGAGAGCAAAUCUGCUUAAGAUGCAGAUUUUGCAUCUUUGCUCUCGCGGACUCCAUUCCAAUGCACUUUUUGGGUUUCGUGCAUCCCUAGCUUUUUCGAGGGGUACUCACUCGACUAUUAGUCGAUCCUGGACGAAGCGUAACUCUCGGAUUUCGAGAAUUCACUUUGUUACAAGUAUAGUGGUAUAUAGCUGUAGAAUUGUUUCAGCUUCCUUUACUAUCUUUGAGUAUACUUCUGUAGACUUAGUGGGUGAGCCGUUGAGGUCGGUAGCGGUACCCACUGAGGACUACUUCUUUUUGUAGUAGUUCUCACACCUAGUUGUUGCCCUUUUUGCAGAGCCUUCUUCUCCGGCUGCUACUGUUGCUGAUACGGAUCGUGGAAAGGGAGUCGUGAGUUAGAUCUCUUCCUGUUUUGGCUGCUGAUCUAGAGUUAUACCAGCUACAGGUAGUGUUGAUUUUUUAUGCUUAUACAUACUGAUGUUAUAUCCUUGCUCGAGCGAGUGCUUUGUAUCUGGAGACUAUGUAUGUAUAGUGAACCUAAUGUUAUUUAUAUAUGCCAUUUAGUUUAGCAGCUCUAUACUACUAGUUGUAGUUUUGUAUAAUUUCAGGUACAUGUACAGUUAUCGCUUCGUAUACAGAAAAAUUUUCUUUGUAUGCGGCGGAUUUGUCGGCGUGCCUGGAGAAACGAGCAAUCCGGGGCGUGACACUAUUGGAGAUAAAUCAAUUAAGAUUUAGAUAUUUAUUAGAGUAGGAAUUCUAAAUAUAUUAGGAUUGUGGUACGUUUUGGUGGAGCUUUAUAAAUAGCUCUUGAUGAGAUGCUUUUGAGCAGAGAGUUGGUGAGAGAGAAUGUCUUCUUAGGUGAAAUCGUACCAGGAGAGAGAAAGUAAUGAUUGCAUGCACCUAGUAUACGGGUGCAUGUGAGAGAGAAAGAGAGGGAGUUGUCUUCUUUGUGGGUUUAUAGAAGACGAGAGAAUGGUGGAAGAGAUUCAAGAAAGAGAGCUCGGGUUCUAGCUACUUUAUGCAGAAGAGGAAUCAUGUGUAAUCUUCUCUUAUUUAAUGAAUCUUAUUUUAUUCACAUAUUUUCUGUUUUGAUUUUUCUCACUUUUGUGAUUGUAUUAGCUUUUGCUGAGGAGAUGGAUUUAUAGUAAAAAUUCGAUUCGACGCUUCCGUUGUGGAAUCCGAACAAUUGGUACCGGAUCAACAACAGUCAGUAUCGAAGCGGGUUACGGAUUCUCAAAAUCCAGUAUUGGGGCGAGUACCAGAUUCCUACAUUCUUGCUUGAUUCAAAUCUUCCAAGAUUGAUUGAAGGAAUUCUAAGAGGCAUUUCGAAGCGCGUUUCGCGGAUUCGGAGGGUGCUUAGAUGAAGAUGUAGCAAGAAGUAUUUUUUCCAAUUAGAAGGUUGCAAGCCCAUUGUAAUAGAGUGGUAAUCUCUAACCACAUAUUGUAAUCUUCUCAUUGGAUAGUGGAUUUGAUCUCUCCAUGCCCGUAGAUGUAGCUCGGUUUGGGUGAACCACGUAAAUCCUCUUGUGUUGUUGUGAUUGUGCUUGGAUAUUUUUCUUUCAACUUUAUUUACUUCAAUCUUGUAUAUCUUGGUUGUGGAUAAUUUAGAUACAUCACAUUUGUUUACUAGUGAGAUUAGUAUCUUGAUAGUGAGGGUUUCGUUAUUAGCUCACUACAUUCAACGGUCCAAUUAUCCCCUGUGCUGAAUUUUUAAAGUAUAGAUUUGAAUUUGAAUCUAAAGAGUAGUAUUGAUCAAAGAAUUUUGGAACGGCAAAUACUACUGUUACACUCUAUCUGGGGUGUAGAUCUUACAUCCCACUCAUCCAAUGUGUAGGAAUGUUUUACUUGUCACAUCAUGUGAGAAAUAAAAUAUUGUCAACUAUUGAGGUGUGUCUAUCAUAUAAAAAUUAGUUUUUGGACAGUGUUGUAGGUUUAAUUUACAACUCAUUUUGAGUUAUAACCCUAGUAUUGCUCUAUGAUGUUACACAAUGAAAGAAAUUAUUUUGGUCAUUUGAUUAGUGUGCACCUUAAUUUGUAUGAAGUUUUUCACUGCAUGCAGCUAAUAUACCACCACAACAAAAGAUAUUUUAGACGACAUUUUUUAGGUGACGUUCUAUUCUGGUGUCUUUAAUAUUUGGCAUGCAAGAAACCUUCUUUGCAUUUACUUCCCCUUCAGGGAAUGCGUUCCAAAUCAAUCACCGACAUUGCCUAAAAGCAAUAUCAUCGGUGCAUCGCUUCAUCGUAAGUGCUCUAAUUCCGCACCGACAUUUUGCUCUAAUGUGAGAUGGCCCACUUCGGCACAUCCCCACUUUCAAUCCUCAAAUUCCACGUGGCUUGCUAUUAGCUCAAGGCCUCACCAAGAGCACCUCAUUACUUGAUACCAUAUGCCACGGUCAACAUCAUACCACUUUCGCAACGACUCACACGAACACGUCGUUCGUGAACUAACUCCCCGAUAAGGCUACUCGCCAAAUCACUUUCCUCGAUUUUCGUUGGUGGACCAAGGGCCACCAAUACUACGUAGGCCUACAGCCUAAACCUGUCUUAACAUACGCGCAGCGUCUCUCACUCGCAAGCGUAGACCCAAUCAUAAUCGGGGCAAAAUUCUCACUUGGGAAUUCGCACACACUCCAACUAGGAGCAACCAAGACCCCAAACCGCAUUAAAUUCUCGGGUUGUGUCACAAUCGUACUCUCAGCAUUCUCUCAAUCGCAUUACACGCUCUAUCGAGCAAUCUGUGUCACUACCGACUCCUAUGCACCUAGUGCGAGCCACCAGCCCCACGAGUGAUCCAUGGCACGCUUCACACUUGGCAAUGCCCAAGUGCUACUGCCAACAAACUCACUCUGCCGAUCCAUAUUCGCACUCCACGAGUACCUGUACUCGGGCGUCGUAUGCUACUACAGCAUUCCACACUAAGUCUCGAUUUUGGGCAAUCUUACCCCCGCGUAUCGUCCACUAAGCACAUUCUCCUACCUCACAUUGAGGUACAACUAGGCCCACAGGCCAAACUUGGGUACUAACCAACCAUUCUCUCAACAGUGAUUCACUUUUACUGUUCGAUCUACCGAAACAACAUCUGGAAUACUCGGACUACUCGAGUAUCCAUCAGCGUCAUAACUCAACUCUCGCAAUUUGCUACACACAUUGCUUUGCGAGUUGGUCCAUCAUUUUCAUCUCUACUACGAGUCUCAUCACCAGACCAUCACUAGCAACUCGCUAGUGCCACAUAGCUCGCUACCUACACCGGCAGGUACUACGCUCUCACAACACAAGCAGGCCCGGGUAUCCACAUUUACCCGUCCCCUUGGUCCCUACUAUACUUACACAUAUAGUAGUAAGUGACUAUAUGCUCCAUGCAUGCAAUGCACCACUUUAUAUCAUGCAGAAACACAUAACUGCAUUAAUAACUCAUACCUGCCACGACGUCGUCAGCAGCAGUUCCCAUAUCCCGGGUCGCGUGUCCAUGGCCACUUGGCGCCCGCCGCGAACCCCUCGGUUGCAUCAUUGUCAUCGCUCGCUCUCCCGACCGUGCCGCAGGUGGCAGACCCACCGGCGGUCCCGGAGAGGAAAAAUCCGUCGCCAACGCCAAGGCUCGGCUAUCACUUUGCAGACACUCAUCCCGCAUAUGGCUUGGCUGCCCACAACGGAUACAUCUUCCAUCACGCAGCGCACACCGCCACGCCUGGUGGGUACCACCACAAAUCACACAGCCUGGGGAGGAUCGAGUAGAGGACGACUUUGAGUGGCGCCUAGAACUUGACUGCCCACCCGAACUGUUCGAUAGUGGCCUCACCCCUCCCCACUCAUACUUAUGAGAUUCGCGCUCCUCAUGCACGAAAGCCUCGCCAUGCUCUGCCCACAAUGCUCAAUCCAACACCUUCGUGAAGGUUGUGAGCUUAAGGAUUUGCACCUUCUCGUAAAUAUCUGGUCGAAGUCCAUGUAAGAACCAAUCGGUCAUAUCCUUGUCAUCCCGUACCACAUCCGGGACGCAUCCCACGAUACGGGAGAACUCCCGUUCGUACUCCCGCACUGAGCGGUCUCCUUGACGCAGCUUCCUGAACCUGUCCUUAAGCCUUCUCUUUUCACUGUCGGGGAAGUAAGCUGAGAAUACCAAUCCCCGAAACUCAUCCCAUGCCAUAGGAGGAAGACUAGGCGAUUGGUUCCCCCGAAUGCCUUUCCAUCACACCUUCGCCGAUUGCUUCAAGCAAUGCACGGCUAGGGGCACCUUGUCCCGCUCCAAUGUGUACAGCUCCUCGAAGAGCGUUUCCAUGGAGUCAAUCCACAUAUCCACAAUCUAGGGAUCGACAUUCUCUCCAUCGAAGGUAGGCGGAUCAAACUUCUUGAAGGUCAUGAGGGCCGCCAAAGCCCGCUCUUUCUCCGCCUCCACCAAUGCACUUUCAGGAGUCGGAUCGCCCGACCCCGACGGAACCAUCUCUGCCGCAAGCCCCGCCCAUCCUCGACGAGCCGCAACUGGCGCAGCCACUAGCUGCUCCACGGUCUCCUGGAGUCUCUUGAUCCAUUCUUCCUGGCGCAUGGUAGCCUCCUACUGACGCUGCACUACGCCCACAAGCACUCCCAACUGUUCGCGGAGCUCCGAGCCUCCUCUCGCUCCGGAUUGCUCAGGGACAUCACUUGUCCUAUCCCGCGUCGAUCUAGCCGAAGAUCGCCUACGCGGUGCCAUCAUUCCCUGAAACAUGACAACACGAUUAAUUCUCAACCUUCGAGGUCGAGUACGAAACAUUUAACAUUGACUCAAAUCGGGCGAAAGUCAUACAAGGGCGUCUAUUCUCAUCACUCGGUUUCAUGUUGUCGUACAGCCAACAUGAACACACUCGGUUGAGAAUAAACCACACCUUGAAUUUACCUCUAAUCUCUUUUUUAGAGGUUUACAACAUAACCCAAUCCAUUAUCCUUUCGCCACAAGUCACAAGUCCUCGUCUCUCACGAGCCUUAAUCUCCUAUGGUUUACUAUCCUAGGGUCUCCUAGGUCAAGCUAAACCAUUUUCUUUAUACUCUUUUAUGUUCUUUUUAGGUUCUUUUUAUGCUUUGAUACCAUCUUAUCUGUCACGCCCCGAGCCCGCCUAUUUGGUCGGUUUCGGGCACGCCAACAGACCGCCGAACGGACAGGGUUUCUCCUGUACCGCGGACAGAGUCUCCCUUGUACAUUCAAGGCGUCGCAAUCAAUACAAUGUACGAAGUUCCAACCAGGAACAUAUUUCAACCAAAGAUUGCAUAAGGAAGUAUCAAAACAUAAUUCUACUUGCUAUUACAAACAUUCAUCUCACAUAUUAUAUUUUACAUUACAAAUUAUAUUCUUAGAUUACAUCACAUUUGAUUCCAUGAUUUCUACUUCCAAAUACAAUCUAGUUUUAACAUAGUUAUUACAAUAUUGUUCUUAUAAUUAUCAUACUCUUGGUUCUUUGCAUUUUAUACCCCUAAGAAGCCGACUCAGGGUGCUGCUAUCUGGUCUCAAUGGUAGGGCGCUAACUACGGAGCUACGCCCUUUCCUCGCGCCGCCGCGCCGCUCGCGUGUGAACCUGUAACACCCCAAAACAACGUGGGGUGAGAACCAACUCCAUGGUUCCCAGUGGGUACGGCCACCCAAGGGAAGAGCUCGACCAUCAGGUCCAAAGGAGGCAAACAACAUGUUAGUCCAAUAGAUAGAUGUAAAAUCAUAAAUCAUGCAACUAACGUUACCAUGCUUUUGUCUCACAACAUGCAUCAUGUACAUUAUGCAACUCAUAUAAGUAGAUUAAUUGCUUCUACACUUUAUUCUUAUCCAUUCUUUACUUUUAGUCAUUCUUUACUUUACUAGCUAUUCUUUAGCAUUUGCCUUUCUUUAUUCUUUAUUACUUGCCAUUCUUUAGCAUUAGCCUUUUCUUAUUCUUUAUUUUUUAUUCUUUAUACUUUGCUAAGGGUACUCAUACCUUAGUAAUAUUAUACACAUUAGCCUUUCUUUCCUAAGGUUACUUUACCUUAGCCAACUAUGCUGUCCAACUCGGUCUUGAGUCAAUCAACUGCGGAUAGUCCGCGCUCUGUCCGGCUCGAGGUGAAGGAACUCUCACAUGCACCUCAGCCUUCAAUCGCAAACCACAUCGCCCAACGGGUCGCCCAGAGCUGCGUACACUCGUGGUCAGGGAUCUCCCGGUGGGAGAGGAACAUGCCGCAUGCACCCGCAGCUGAGAUCCCCGAUAGGGAGAGGAACAUGCCACAUGCACCCUAGCGCUCAUGAUUCUUGCUCAAUAACAAGUCUCGAAGUUCUUCCGGUGGGAGAGAAAUAUGCCACAUGCACCCGCGGCCAAGAACUAUCGAGCUUGUAUGCUGCACUAGCAACCGCUGCACUCGCAGCAGGGAUUUCGGAAUCCACUUUACAUAACUCAAGGGUUGGUCUCACCCUAUGUUAUCGACCUAUCUAGGUCCAAGUCUUUACUCAACCUAAGUUAAUACAUUAGGUUCAAUGUUAUUAUCUUCUUAGCCUAGGUUCAUUGACUCUAGGUUCAAUAUUUUUAAUCACCUAGGUUCAUUUGACUCUAGGUUCAAUGCCACUCAUGUUCUUGUUUUCCUAGUUGUCCACACCUAGGAAUCAUACUUGACAUACCACUCGUGAAUAACCUAUGUUCAAUGACACUAGGUUCAUUAUUACUCUUGUUUAAUCUAUGUCCUUGACACUAGGUUCAAUGCCACUCGAUCUAUAGGUGCAUUUAUGUCCACUUACACAUAUCCUAUACUUAGCAUUCUUAUCUUAUCAUUAUGCAUUAUCACUAGCAUGCUUUCUACUUUAUGUUAGCAUGCAAUGCCAUUUAUCUCAUGCCUUUAGCUAACAUCAUUCAAUGCAUUUACUUAGCAUUCUUAUCUUGUCAUUUUCAUUACUUGGCACAUAUCACAUGCAUUCUUUAUUAGCAUUUCAAUUAUGCAUCCAUUUCUAAAACAUGCAUCUAGUUCAUGUUACUUGGCAUUUAACUCAUGCAUUUAUCUAGCAUAUGUCUUACAUACUCCUUUAGCGUUUAGCUCUUGCAUUCAUUAGCAUACUUCACAUACAUUUACUUAGCAUCUAGCUCAUAUCAUUAUAUGCAUUUAUUAGCAUCAUUAUGGUACAUUCUUACUUAGCAUUCUUAUUAUGCAUUCUUACUUAACAUUCUUAUCAUGCAUCAAUAGUGAAACACACUACACUUUAGCAUGAAGGCGACCUAGUCGCUUCGGUAAGCACAACCCACCUCAAAUCGCUUUCCGAUUGCUUGUAGUCACUUGCAAUCGGCCUCCCGCGGCACCCGUGAUCUGGUUUGGCCCGAACUCUUGUGCGACCACCCGAACGGCCACCAAUCCGCGAUCCGUCUAUUCGGGAGUUUAUUCCCCGUUACCACGAUGCUCCAGAUCCAUUUUCAUGAUUUUUGGGCGUCUAUCCCGCGUGCUGCGGCUAUCUGUACCAAAACAGACCGUUUCGUCAAUAACUUCGGGUACACUCGUCGGAUUGUCGAACCGAGCGCACCAACGCGUUCGUUAUACCCCCAAUUAGGUUUCUACAAGGUCAAUUUACCUCGAAAACACCCGGAGGCAAAAUUUCCAAAUUUGGUGCCCUAACAAUGCCAUAAUGAGAUUUCUUGGGAUUGAUCUUGUUGCUAAGCAUAAUUAAGCUUAGAACCACCCAAGAAGCUCUCUAAUAUCAUCUCCAACCUAAUUGGACCAACCCUAAGGUAUCUAACACAAACCCUAGGUGAUCACCAUGAGAGCACCCUAAGCUUCCAUAGAUUUUCAUGGAGCUCAAGCCUCUAGAGAGGUUCCAGUCUUACAAGAAGUCCAAAACACUAAAUCUUAGGAUAUAAAUCUAAACCCUAGAAGUAUUCUUGCGAAAUAACUCACCUUAGCCUAAGCUCUUCCAAGUCCACCAUGAAGGAGAGCUUCUUGAUCCUCCAAAACCCUCAAAAUCCACCUUCAAGAUCUUUUUCUCCGUCUCUUUAAGCUUUGGUGGAGAGCUUUUAGAGAGAGAAAGGGAGAAGAAAUAAGGGAGAGAGGUGUUUGCUGCUGUGAAGGAGUGUUUGGGAACAUAUGGGAUGUGCCACAAUUGCAAAUAAGCCUCCCAACUAUUUUUAUUUGCAGCAGACUAAUUUUUGCUGUCGGGUCCACAGCGUACCGAUACACGGGCUGGUGUCACCGGUACACGACUCGCGCAACAGCCAAACCCGAGAGCCAUCUUCUCGGAUCUUACACUGCGUACCGGUACACGAAAUCCUGUCACCGGUACACAGCCUUUUUUUUUCAGGAUUAAGCCAAUUUUCAGCUUUUUCACCGUUUUCGCUCGUUUGACAUCCGAUUUGUUUCAAAUCGAACCGAGACUCUCCAAACAUAUUUUCAUGCAUGUUUUCAUCAUCUUUUUAUCCACGCUAAUGCCGGAUUUAGUCCAUGGUCCAAAAUAGCCUUUCGGGUCUCGUUUUCGCGCCCUAUGCGCACCGAAGCACCCGAAUGCUCCCGAACUUCGCCGGAAUGAUUCCAACGGCUUUUUAAGCUAACAUACAUCGUGACUUCAUGAAUUAGAAGUUCGGUAUAUUACAAAUAUGUUGUUAAUUUGCUUAGUCUAGUAAUAAAUUGGUCAAAUAUAUAAAGUAAUGAUACAUAUAUUACUUAGAUUUAAAUUUCUCACCUUUCAAUGGGAUACAUCCAUCUGUAAUGUACAGGACCACCUAACUUGGCCUCCGAUGCUAAGUGAAUAAUAAGGUGACGGCAAAGAGGUGCCUUCAGGAAAUGAAUCCUUUAAUAAUUGAAUCAACAUUGUAAAAGAUUUUCCGGACCACCCGUUUAAGCAUUUGAGGUGGAAUAAACGGAGAAUGAAUGAUAUCUUGGAAAACUUUUUAUAACCUGGAUAUAAUUCUUGAUCACAAUCUUUCACCAAGCUUUUAUAUCGGAUUGUUUCACUAGGUGAUGAAUGCAUUGACCGCUCAUUAAAAUUUUGCUCGCCAAGAAAUCUGGUAGCAUACGCCUCGUCAUUACAUUCUUCUAAAUUAUUAGGAAUAGUCUCAUUCAUUACUUGUUCAUUAUUCAAAUUAGUACCCACAAUUCCAAAGACAUCUUGUAGCAAUCCUCCUAGACCAUCCUGUCUUGAACUACUUUCUUGUGCAUUAGUAGACCUUGGAGCAAAUGAAGUGCAUUCGAUUUCACUUGGAGAUGUCACAAAUGACUCUCCAUGAAAUACCCAAACAUUGUAACCUAAUAAAAAACCGUUCCACACUAAAUGCACUUCGACAAGUUCUGGAACAAAAGAAGAAUUAUUGUAACACUUUCGACAUGGGCAUAAGACCUUACCAUUUAUCGAUGAUUUUUUCAUAGCAAAUUUAAUAAAAUUUCUAACACCAUCAAUGUACGCAUUAUCAUUUCUCGGCUUACUUAUCCAACUUUUGUCCAUUGUAUCACAAUUUGUAUGAUUAUAACCCAUAUGUUAAAAAAAAAAGGUAAAAUAAGGAACAAGAACUUCAGCCUCAACUAUAAACAUUAGAGUAGAAAGGGACGUUUAACUUUAUAAAAUUGAGACCCAACAACAAAAAUCAUAAAUAAUGGACUGUUCUAAACUUCAUAUUUAGUUAGAGUAGACACUAAUACUUCUUACUAAAAAAUUUAGCACUUCAAUUAACACACUUACUUCCAAAAAUAUGCAAAUUAAUUUAAAAAUAACAAAUCAGUUAGAAUCCAUAAUUAUAAAUGAUAAUUCUCAUAAUUUAAUUUGCCGUGAUUAUUAAUUAUAUGGUUAUUUUAAAUUCAAUUACAAUUAUGAAAGGAAUUCAUCUACAACCAAUACAAGAAAAGAAUUAAUAACAAAGAAAGAUCAUACUUUAUUUGCAAAUUAAAAUUAAGAAAUUUUACGACUUCCUAUGUCAAUAAAGAGGAAAACAAUACUACAAAAUUGAAGAAAAAUACAAAAAAAUAUGCAAAAUAAUAAGCUUUACCAUACCAAGAAGAUCUUGCUCUCCUCACUAUAGAAUUUUGAAGCUCUUUAUCCAAAACUUUCGCUUUGAUUAACUAUUACCAAUGAGCUUGUCGAGCCGGUAACAAUGCUGAUGGUGUUGGUUAGGAAUAAUUGUAUUCCUAAAAUAUUUAAAACUAUUAUUUAGCAGUCUAAUAUUACUUGUGAAUCAAAUGUUUGACAUGAUAGAGCUUAUCUAGAAUUAAACACUAAUUGUAUGGAUAGCUUCACGUAUCAAACAAAAUUUAAGGGCAAUAUAGGAUUUUUAGAAAAGUACCAAAGAAAAAAAAUGCUAAGUUAUCUUGUUUUCAUAAAAAUAUCAACCAACAACAUUUCUUAGGUGACAAAUAUAUUUUAUAGGAUAUAUCAAAGUAAUUUUUUUGACAAAAAGAGCUCACUAUAUUAAAACACUACAAACUAAAAAAAUUAGAUCUUUUUUCUCAUGUGCAUAUAGAGUAUGGGCCUUCAAUUAGUAAUGCAAUUUUACAUGAAGCAGCAAUUAUGCAAGGUUUACACAAUAUUGGAAAUGUUUAACUUUCCAAGAAGAGAUCAAGACUUUGACCUAUUGCACUCCUUCGCUAGUGAAAGUUGAUGGAUUAGUAUCCUUCUUUGAGGUAAUAGACCAUACAAGAAUGAAAGAUGGUUUAGCCUUAUAGCAAAAGAGCUAUGAGGUUCUUUACAGUGAAAAUGAGUUUGAAUUUAGCUAUAUUUUGUUGCUAUUUUAAUUCAAGGAUAUUUCAAGUAGGCAUGUGCUCUCGGUGCUAAAUUAUCAAGGUGUGGUUGAAAUUCUAUCAAAGGACAUUGUUGAACAAUGGAAAAAGGACUUCAAGCAUAUUAAUUCAAUUAAGCACUUUCCUAAUAAGGUGGUGGCUAAUGAGUUGGUAGAACAAAACAAAAAUUUCUGCAAUCAGUACCUGCAACUUGCUAAGAUUGGAAUGACAUAUGAUGGAAGAAUCAAUCAAAUAAUUAACCUUAUGUGGGAAUUCAAAAGAAUUCUACUAUGGGCAUCUGCUAACAAACGUCAAGCAUCUAAGACCACACAAACCGUCAGAUCAGUCCAACAAAUUCCAUCAGACUUUAUUUUUUUAGAGUUUGUACUAUCUAAACAUUUUAUGCCAAAAAGAAGCAAAGUAAGAUGUUUUAGAAACCAAAAAAAAUUUUGGAGCAUACGAAUGAGGACAAAAGCUGCAUCAAGUUACAAAUAAGAAAUAACUUUUGUAGUAACAUAAUAGUAUUUUUACAGUAAUAGUUUGCAAUCCAAUGUCCCAAUCUACAUACCAAGAACAACUUUGGCAGUUGAGAGAGUAAAAGCAGCAUCACGAGUUGUCAAUGGAAAUUCCUAUAAGAAGAGGCUCGGUUCAGUAAGGGGCUGGUAUUCGAACCGUGGAUGGACCGGAUCUCAUGUCCUCAAUAAUGAGAUUGAAGAGAGCUUGAGCUAUGGGGCCUUCUUGUCCUGUAAAGAAAUCGAAAGAGAAAUUGAACAAUCCAACUUUCAAAAACCCUACGCGAAAUGGAACAAAAAUAAGAAAAAGGGAGAGGGACAGGGGAAGAAAACCCUUACUCAGCUGCUCGUGUCUUUGCCUCUGGAUCCGGAUAACCUCUGCAGGUCCUGCUGAGCCAAUUCCAAGCAAGCGUUGAUCCAAAUGGCAGGGUCGAAGGUGCUCCGUGCAGCCCCGACGGAUCCCUUGCGCUCGUAGCACUCGCCGAGGAGGGCGAAGGCCUUAGCGUUGUCGUGGCUAAGGCGUGCGGUGUCGAGGAGGUCGGCGAGGGCUGCGUCGAGGCAGCGGUGGUGGUUGAGGGCGAGCUGGAUCCCGGCGCACUUGAAGAGGGCGUCGCCACGCUCGCUAGGGGAAAGGGAUUUGGUGGCAGGUAGGAGAGGGCAGCGUCGAGGGAUCGGAGCAUGGGGGGGGUGGUGGCCGAGGAGGUCGAGGGCGAGGGCCUUCAAGAUGUGGGGCACGGCAUCACGGGCGUCGAGGGCAGUGGCGAGGUGGGCCUCUGCGAUGGCGGAGUGGGCGAGGGUGAAGGCGGGGGAAAGGGAGAAGGAGUGGGCGCGGGUGAGGAGCUGGGCGCGGCGUCCUAGACGAAGUGGCGUUGGGAUUGGGCAGAGAAGUGGGAGCGGCGGCAGAGGCGGGAAAGGGCGUAGCGAUGGAGGCGGGAGAUCGAGGACUUUUUUCUUUACCUGUGAAGGAAGAUGGGAAUGGAAAAAGGCAUUUUAGUGACAGAGGAAAUAUGAAAAUAGAACUAAUAUGAGGUUUAGGGCUUUUUUUUAUCACUUUUGGCGCUAUUAUUUCGCGCUAUGCGGGCGUUUCGCGGGCAUAGCGUUUCGCGGGAAGUUAUUUCAGCGCCCAAAAUUUCAUCUCAUCGACGCUUUGGGUAAGCAUCGAUAAUUUAGGAGAUAAAUUGGGAUUUGCCGGCACUUUAAUAAAGCAUCCCUAAAAAAGCGUCGGUAGAGCUCCAUUUUCUUGUAGUGAGAGUUCCGGCAGUUGCUAGAUACUUAAAUAAGUGUUGUUAAAUUAGCAGCACGCUUUUCAGGUUAUAGCGACACUUUUUAACUGUCACUAUAUAUCUAGCGACCCCAUAUAUAGCAACACUUUUUAGAAGUAUCGGUAAUUUAGCCAGCAGCACUUUUUUUGACUUGUACCGACAUUUAAAAGUGUCGCUAUAGACCGUUUUUGUUGUAGUGUAGAACGUUGGCUUUGAUUCCAACGUUCCAUCCACAUCCCUAUUUAUAGUACCUUUUCAAUUGUUCAAAAAGAUGAACAUUGUAGAGAGAAGAAAAAGUAAAACAAUGAAAAAUGAGAGAAAAGAAUUUUUUAUUUAAUUUCAAUUUUAUUUUACUUGAUCUCUUUAUCGUGGGUGUUGAAAGAGUCUCCGUCAAUAUCUUCCGCAUUCGUGCUCGUAGGAGGAAGAAUUCUGGUCGUACCUUAGGACGGUGUUUCCGGUUAAUCCCGCACGAAGGACCAAAAUAUGCCUUAGGGCAGUGCUACGCACGCUUCCGGAUUAGUUAAAUUAUUUACUUGGAUUUUAACUUUUAUAUGUAAGUUUGAUUUUAUCUUUAUCAUAAAAUUAGUUAGAUAAUUAAUCACAAUCAGAUUUUCUUUGCGGUUUUUCUAACAAGACCAACUACCAAAUGAGUUAGUACAAAUGUAUAAUGCUCUUAUCAUAGCUAGGGAUAUUGUUAGAUGUGCCUCCAAAUUUGCUAAUCGACUUCGAUUUUGGACCUUUGAUUCGUCGACAAUUUUGCGAUGUGACAGAUUUGGAAAAGAAAUGUGAAGGAAAAAUAGAUAUGGUGGAUAUCCUUAUAAGGAUGAUGAUAGAGGUGUACCAAUUAAUUACAGCUUCCUUCGCACUGCUCAUAUUAGUACGCUCUAGAAGAUCUCUGAUGUAUUUGUGCUAUGAGAGAAAUAAACCAUUUGGUAUAGAAAGUACAUCAACACAAAGGAAAUAGUUUAAAGCCCCUAAAUCCUUGAUAGAGAAAUAAUAGGAUAAGGUCUUAAUGAACUGACCCCUAAAGAAGUUAUUAUUUCCUGCGAAAACGAUAUCAUCAACAUAGAUGGGCAGAUAAGCACAAAUUCCAUGAGCUAAAUAGGUGAAUAAUGAUGCGUCACAUUUAGAAUUUGCGAACCCAUUUGAAAUUAGAAAGGAGUGCAACUCCCGAUACCACGCGCGAGGGGCUUACUUGAGAUCAUAUAGAGCUUUUUGUAGCCUACACACAUGAGAUGGAUUAUUUGCAUCAAUAAAACCUGGGGGUUGAAUCAUAUAUACCUCCUCCGACAAUGUUCCGUGAAGAAAUACAUUGUUGAUAUCAAGUUGUCUCAGUGGCCAACCUUUGGAUAAUGCUAGACUGAGUAUAAUUCGAAUAGUAGUGGGUUUAACAACAUGGCUAAAUGUUUGUGUAAAAUCAACCCUAGGUCGUUGGUGAAAGCCCUUGGCUACUAAUCUUGCUUUAUAGCGAUCAAUGGUUCUAUCUGAGUGAUGUUUGAUUCGAAACACCUACUAUAUUGAUAAGGUUAGGAUGGCACAAGUUCCCAUGUUCCAUAGCGGAUAAGAGCAUUAAACUUCUCUACCAUAGUAGCUCGCCAUUUUGGAUCUUGAAGGGCUUGUAAGACAAGAGGGUCCAAGAGAUCGAGGUAAAGGAUGCUUUGUAGUAUCAAAAACUCGUUUAGGUUUGAAUAUAUUAUUCUGAGGCCUUGUAACCAUAGGGUGUGUACAUUGUUUUAAAGGUGGAUGAUGAAGGUUUUGAGAAAUAGAUAUAGGAGGACUUGUGCUGUCAUUAGAGGAAGUACCAUGGGUAGGAUGAAAAUUCAAUGGAGAAGGAGUAGGAGAAGUUGCACUAAAACGGGGUUUAGAGGGCUGGUGUGUAGGAGGAGAGGUUGAUGCUUCCACACUGAGAAAAGCUGAAUCUCUUUUGCUAAAUUAGCUGUUUGCUUGAUAGGAAGAUGGAUGCAUGAGUGGCAUUGAAAAAUAAGUGAGUUCCAUAGAUAGAUGAGACCGAGUAUCAGUGGUGGCGGGAUUUCUUCUUUUAGAAAUGGAAUCAUCAGUAGUAUAAGGAAAGCGACUCUCAUCAAGUACAAUAUGGCAAGAAAUAUAAAGCUGAUUUGUGAAUCGGUCUAAAUACUUAUAGGCACUCUGGGAACUGGAAUACCCUAAGAAAAGGCAAGGACGAAACUUUGGCUCAAGUUUAUUAGUGUUGUAUAGACGUAGCCAUGGAUAGUAGACACAACCAAAAAUACAUACUUUGAGAUAGUUAGGAGAAUGACCAAAAAAGGACUAUAUAAGGAGGUUUAAAAUUAAGAAUAGGUGUAGGUAACCUAUUAAUUAGAUAUACUACAGUUUCGAAAGCACAAGACCAAUAUUUUAAUGGUAUGGAUGCUUGAUGAAGUAGCGUUAAACCUGUUUCAACUAGAUGGCGAUGUCGACGUUUAACUAAACCGUUAUGUUGGGGAGUGUGAGAUAGAGUUGUAAAAUGUGAGAUUCCAUGCGUAGCAAAAAAUUUUUUUAACUUUUGAUAUUCACGUCCACCAUCUGAAUAAAUUGAAACAAUAGAGGUUUUUAAAUGAUUUUCUACCAAUGCUUUAAACUUCACAAACAUGGAAAAGACAUCAGAUUUAUUUUUCAUUGGACAGAACCAUACAUAUUUGCUGUACUGAUGAACAAAAAUUAUGUAAAAUCUAAACCCAUCUAUAGAGGAAAUACAUGAAGGUCCCCAAAUAUCAGUUUAAAUUAGAUUUAAAGGGCUAUGACUUGACAAAGAUGAUGUACCAAAUGAAAGUUUAUGGCUUUUAUUACAUUGACAUGAAUCAUAUAAAGAAAUAUUAUUUGCGAAAGAUGAAAUAGGUAAAGAAAAUGACCUGACAAGAAAUUAAAGGAUGCGGGAGGAAAGAUGACCAAGUCUUUUGUGUCAACAUGAAAUAGAAGCCUUCACACUAACUAAAGCCAAAGGUUGUACUACAGAAUCAUUCAACUUCGGCCACUCAUACACAUCAUUAUUAUUUGGUCCUCGAAGUAGAAUCGCCCCCAUGUGCAAAUGCUUCACAACAAAAAAGGAUGGAAAGAACUCAAUGGAGGUAUUAUUGGCUUUACAAAAUUUUAACACAGAUAUCAAGUUAUUUUUCAUAGAGUGAGCACAAAGGACAUAAUUUAAGAAGAAACUACUAGAGAAGGAGUUUAGUUUUGCAGAACCUGUGUGAGUGAUAUUCAAACUUGUACCAUCUGCAACAAUAAUCUCAUCUUGUCCUUCAUAGUCUGAAUGUAAUGAGAGGUUGUUUAAAUCCGACGUCACGUGAUGGGAUGUUGUUGAGUCCACGAGCCAACUUUGAGGAGAAUUGUUUUGAGAAUAAACAUGAUUUGCCAUCAUGGGUUCAUGAAACAGAGCAGUUUGUUUUGAAAACAUUGCUUUGCGGUAUGUCCUUGUUGGUAACAUAAUUGACUUGUGACUUGAGAAGGAUUAAAUCCUCUAUAGGAAUUGUACUACCCAGGACAGUGUUGUGAGUUAGAAUUGCUGCGGAAAUUGGAAUUUCGGUUAAAGUUAGAAAACGAACGGUUGAAGUUGGAAGAACACUACAACAAAAAAGGUCUAUAGCGACACUUUUAAAUGUAGGUACAUGUCAAAAAAGUGCUGCUAGCUAAAAUUACCAACACUUUAAAAAGUGUUGCUAUAUGUGGGGUCGCUAGGUAUAUAGUAACAGUUAAAGAGUGUCGCUAUGACCUAAAAGAGUGCUGCUAAUUUACCAACACUUAUUUAAGCAUUUAGCAACCGCCGAAACUCUAUCUCGUUGGCUGCGGUGGCGGAGGAGGACGACAGGAAAAGCUCUUCGUCUAAAAUUUCAGUGGAUUGAAUGAAGAGAGAAGAAAAGAUGGUAAUUGAUUUAUUUUUUUUUCUUUUCUGUUUGUCAUCGGGCCAAAUGGACUGGGUGUGGUGGGUUGAGUAGAGUAAUCUUUUAUUCUUGGCUAGAUUGGGCUUUAUAUUUAGGCAUUAGUAGAUGUUUCUUUUAAGUUUUAGCAUAAAUGGGACACUUACUCAAAAGUGUCCCAAACAUGUGUCCCUAUAACCUAAUUCUGUUGUAGUGGAAGAAAUUGAGUUCUGAUUGAAGUUUCCCUUUUGCCUUGCAUGUGAUUGAAGCUUCUGCUUCGCAUGCUGUUGGUGGCUUUGUGUGUAGCAUUUGCUGUCACUACAGAAACUUUAUCUUGUUGCUUCUCGUUUAAGAAACUCCUCAUAUUCAACUAACUUCUCAUAUACCUUUUCAAAAGAGAUAUAAGUUUUUCUAGCUCAAAUUGCUGCUACAAUUUCUUUAAAAUCCGAGCCUAUGCCGUUGAGUGUAUGAAUAAUAAGGUCAUCAGGAGAAACUAGAGCACCAAUAAGAGCCAAUUCAUCAGCAAUCACUUUUAAAGUUUGUAGAUAUUCACUUACAAGCUUGGUGUCAUGGAAGGUUGACGUAAGCUUCUCCUUGAGACUCAUAAUUCGAGAUCGAGAACAAUUUGCAUAGAGUUUUCUUAGUUUUGUCCAAGCCUCGUGUGAACUAGAAGAAGAUGCAAUCAGAGGGAUAAUUGAUUUAGAAACCGAUUGCGAUGAUGGCAUGGAGCAAAAGUUUAUCUUGUCGAAGCCAUAGGGUGUAAUCUGGAUUUGAUUUUUUAGAUAAUAGUUUUGGAGGACAAGAUAGUGAGCCAUCAAUGAAGCCCAUUAGAUCAUAUCCUAGAACUAAAGAUGUGAACUGGGCAUGCUAGGAUGAAUAUUUUGAUGAAAAUAAUUUGAUAGGAAGUUGAGAGGUUGCAUUGAUAGAGACCAAUGCAUUGUUUUGAUUGAGAGGGACAAUGGACUUGGCAACAAUUGAGAUUUCAGAGUUGCUUGAGUCCUCUGCCAUAAUUGUAGGAAUAGUUGCUCGUUUGAGCUUGUAGGCUCUGAUACCAUAUAAGAAGGAAAUAAGGUAUAUGGCAGAGUAUAUUUUCAUUAGUUGUACAACUGUUUUUUAUAUACAUGAGUUCGAAAUAUGAAAUCCAAAAUAAGUUGUUUAUCUUUGUAACAACAUUUCAAAGUUGAAAUCAACUAGAUAUUUGACUAUCCUUAUCUCUAGGUAAGUAGUUAUUUCUUUACUCCAAUAAUCCUAUCCCAUUAAGAAAUUUCUUUCUUCUUUUGCCUUACGUGCGAUACAGCGUGUUGUACUUACAAACUUUGUACUCUUUUUUUUAUGAUAAAGUUCUCACAUUCUACGCCCGUGUUUUUUCUUCCUCUACAAAGGGUCUUUCACGUAAACCUUUGUGUUUGUUUUAUUUAUUGUUUUGUGUUUUGUCUAUUUCGUGUUCUUCAUUUUCUUGUUUUUGUUUGCGCGCCCAUUGCAACAGAUAUAAUUAUGCAAUUGAAUUUCCGAUUCACCUCGAAUGGCGGAGUAAAGCGGCUAAAAAAUAGGAAAAAUAUAUAUGUACUUCGAAUAUGUCCUCAUCUGCUAAAAAAUUAGAGUAAGAUGUGGGAGGCUCUUCCUCUCCUUGAUUCAUCGCAAUUUGUCUCAAUUGGGGGAGUAAGUGAGGGGGCCAAAGAAAAAAAAAGAACACAUUGCAAAUCUGGCAUGAUCUGCUAGGAAAGUAAGUGAGAUAUGGAAGUCGAUCUAGCUCUUUCUUUUCUUGAUUCGUCACGAUCUGCAAAAAAAAUUUGUCAAAAACUCGCCCCCGUCUUGAUUUAUUUUGAAUGGAACGGUAAGUUGGUGAUAACAAAAUUUUGAAUAAAACUCAAUCUGCCCAGAAUUAGCUCCGACGCAUAAAAGAAAAAAAAAAAAUUUCCGGAUCUGCCUCGUUUUCGUCCCUAAUCACAACAAGCAAAUCACAACAACAAUGACAAUACAUAACCAACCUUUCAAAAUAAGGAAAACAUCUAGAAUCGAAAAGAUUAGCAUACAUAAAAUAAUGGCUACUUAUAAUUUUCUCCUCAUACUUGGAUUACUAAGCCAUUAAACAAAUGUAGUUUGGUAAUGAAAAGAGAGAGAGAGAGAGAGAGAGAGUACUAAGUACGGCAGGGAAUUAGGGUUUCGAGAAGCCCGUCGCUUUCACCAAACAAGGAAGUUCUAAAUUGUUAGGAACGAAGAAUAAUGCACGGAACCAUGCAUGAAGGUACAAUACAAUUAAUAAUGCCCUUAAUCUUAGCCACGUUUUGUGUGUAGAAAAAUAAUUGUUUAAUUAUGUGAAUAUGUGUAUGUGGACACCCAUGCAUUAUUGGUCGUUCUACUUAUUUAUUUUCACUUAGUACUCUAAAAUAAGAUUUUUUAUUUUUCUUUUUUGAAUUGAGCUCCUUUAUUUUUAAAAGUAGUAAAUUAUUGAUGCUUAUAAAUUUUUGGCUUUUUAAAAUAAUAGUAAUCUCCUAGAACUGAGUAAGUGGUUAGUGGAAUAGCAUAAUCUAAGAAGGUGGAAUUGAUCAAAGAGAUAGAUCUAACGGUGAAAAACUUAUAAGCACCAAAUACUCGGCGCUUUUAAAAGCACCAUACCCAGACUCUUUUUUUUUUUAGUUUAAGUUAAUUUAUAUCAAUUAACACAUUUUUUUUACGUCUAAAGGUGAUUCCAUGCUUAAAUUUAGCUAUUUUGAAUAGUUUUCCUGAUAAUAAAAUUAUUAUUAUUAUUAUUGUUAUUAUUUCGAAAGAGAAAGGUAGCAAGCUUCCUGCUUUGUUUAUUUUUUAGAAAUUAAUUCAGCUAGAAAAUUUAAAAUAUAACUAAGUUUCGAACUUGGGAUCUACGCUAUACGGUCAAAAUACUUGAAAAUUAAAGAUAUGUCAAUGAUACAGGAAAAUUAAAUGAUAUUAAAUUUAACUCUUCUAAAUACCAUUUCAGCUAAUAAAAUUAUUAACGAUUGACCGCUAAUAUAACCGUUAAUUGUGUAAUUCAAUUUACACAAGAAAAGAAAAUGGUUCAAAGCAAAUUAAAUACUUGAAAAUUGAAGAGAUGUAAAUCAAAAAAUUGAAACAUCAAUUUUAAAAUAGCAUACAAAUAGUUGAGGGGUCUCCAAACCUUUUUAAACCUUUUUAUAAUAUAGAAAGAUGGAGAAUUCAAACCCACGAAUGGGAAAAGAGAUAGGAGUUAGGGGUCUUGUGGUUUGUUGGGUUUUGUUUACUACUGUAGCACUUUUGUUUUUCUCUCUCUCCUUUUUUCUUUUUUUCUUUUUUUUUUCUUUUUUUUUUUUUUCAGUGUAAUCCUUGUUCUCACCAAACCUUCCCUUUUCUUACACUGCAUGGCAUCAAAGCAACGGUUGGAUAUAAAAAAUGUUGCUCAACUCAGCGCGAUUAUAAAAAUACUAGAGUUUCCUUUCCACAAAUCUUCUAAAAGAUACUAGUACAUGCUAGCUGUUAAAAGUGUGUUGCACACAUCAUUAGGAUCAUUAAAGUAAUGGAAAUUGUUUUGGCCUAUUCAUACUAUUCUUUUUUUUUGUUAUUAACAUAAUUAUUAGCAAACCUAUGUGAUAUUUUCCAAUUAAAAGAACCUUCACAAUAUGACUGUUAAUUCAUCAACAUAUGAAAAUAUUGUCAUGAGGAGUUUGUGGCAAUACUCUUUAGAUAUAUUAAAGGAGAAAGUCUUCAUACUAAUAGUUAAUUAAGCUAUAAAAGAAUCCCUUAACAUCUAAUCAAUGAUUUUCAUGCUGCGAAAAGUCGACAUAAAAUUACUAUAUUACUGUUGCUUAGAUUCCUUGCUAUCGCCCAUGGGAUUAUAGGACUGGUUAAUUUGGUGCAUAUCCUCUGUGUUGUAAUUGUUACAAAGAAGAUUAGUGCAACAUAAUUCUUGCUAUACUGGUUCAAACACUCAACCUUUUGGUGAAAAGUUCUCAAGGAUCACAACCAAUUAUUUCAAACAGUCGUUCUUCAUGAAUGAUAUUUAUUGCAUAUAUAUAUAUAUANNNNNNNNNNNNNNNNNNNNNNNNNNNNNNNNNNNNNNNNNNNNNNNNNNNNNNNNNNNNNNNNNNNNNNNNNNNNNNNNNNNNNNNNNNNNNNNNNNNNNNNNNNNNNNNNNNNNNNNNNNNNNNNNNNNNNNNNNNNNNNNNNNNNNNNNNNNNNNNNNNNNNNNNNNNNNNNNNNNNNNNNNNNNNNNNNNNNNNNNNNNNNNNNNNNNNNNNNNNNNNNNNNNNNNNNNNNNNNNNNNGGAACCGAUCGCCGAAUCGGAUGUCCCAUUAUUGAAAACAACUUACAAGUACGGAGGCUCUCGUACUUUCGAAAGCAUAGGAGCCUAGCUCUCUUUCUCUCUCUCUAUAUAUAUAUAUAUGAGUCCGGCUGCUAUACUAUCGGUAGCACGGAGGCUUUCGUGUUGCCAAGUUGUUUUCGAUAAUGCGGCUUUCAAAUCGACGAUCGGCUCCGUUAGACUUGAUCUACACUAUUAAAAGUAUUUGAAAACUAAAUUUCAAAUUUUUUCGACAUCAUUUGACUAGUGAUCAAAAGAUCUCAAAAUUGACAAUUUUAAUGGCCAAUGUGGUGUAUUUGUGAGUUUAACAGUAUAAAAUAAUCCAAAUCCGAUGAAAAUUUUAUAAAAUUUUUUUUUUCACUAUUUAGAGUAAGAUCAGCAUAUCUGAUCUUGAAUUUAAAUCUUUUAUCAUCAUUUUUUAUGAGGUUUUUAUUUUCAGCCGUUCAAUUUUAGACUAAUUGUUUGAUAGGUAAAUGAUAUCGAAAAAUUAUGAAAUUUAGUUUCUAAAUACUUUUAAUAGUGUAGAUCAAGUCUAACGGAGCCGAUCGUCGAUUUGGAAGCCGCAUCAUCGAAAACAACUUAGUAGCACAGAGGCCUCCGUGCUNAUACUAUUCUUUUUUUUUGUUAUUAACAUAAUUAUUAGCAAACCUAUGUGAUAUUUUCCAAUUAAAAGAACCUUCACAAUAUGACUGUUAAUUCAUCAACAUAUGAAAAUAUUGUCAUGAGGAGUUUGUGGCAAUACUCUUUAGAUAUAUUAAAGGAGAAAGUCUUCAUACUAAUAGUUAAUUAAGCUAUAAAAGAAUCCCUUAACAUCUAAUCAAUGAUUUUCAUGCUGCGAAAAGUCGACAUAAAAUUACUAUAUUACUGUUGCUUAGAUUCCUUGCUAUCGCCCAUGGGAUUAUAGGACUGGUUAAUUUGGUGCAUAUCCUCUGUGUUGUAAUUGUUACAAAGAAGAUUAGUGCAACAUAAUUCUUGCUAUACUGGUUCAAACACUCAACCUUUUGGUGAAAAGUUCUCAAGGAUCACAACCAAUUAUUUCAAACAGUCGUUCUUCAUGAAUGAUAUUUAUUGCAUAUAUAUAUAUAUAGAGAGAGAGAGAGAGAGCUAGGCUGGUAUACUAUCGGUAGCACGGAGGCCUCCGUACUACCAAGUUAUUUUUAAUGAUGCGGCUUUCAAAUUGAAAAUUGGCUCUAUUAGACUUGAUCUACAUUAUUGAAAGUAUUUGAAAACUAAAUUUUAUAAAUUUUCAACAUUAUUUAUCUACCAAACGAGUAGUCUAAAAAUGAACGGCUAAAAAUAAAAAUUUCAUAAAAAAUGAUAAUAAAAGAGUUGAAUUUAAGAUCAGAAGUAUUGAUCUCACUCCAAAUAGUGAAAAAAAUUUUCUAUAAAAAUUUUAUUAUAUUAGGAUCGUUUUACACCAUUUAAUUUACAAACGCAUCACAUUGAUUAUUAAAAUUGUCAAUUUUGAGACCUUUUGAUCACUAGCUAAAUGAUGUCGAAAAAUUAUGAAAUUUAGUUUUCAAAUAUUUUUAAUAGUGUAGAUCAAGUUUAACGGAGCCGAUCGUAAAUUUGGAAGCCGCAUCAUCGAAAAUACCUUGGUAGCCGGGAGGCCUCCGUGCUACCGAUAUUAUACCAGCCUAUAUAUAUAUAUAUAUAUAUAUAUAUAUAUAUAUAUAUAUAUAUAUAGGUGAGGCUACUAUUGCUAUUGAAAGCACGGAGCCUUCCGUGCUUCCGCUCGUUUUUCGAUGGUUUCGACUUUCGAAUCGUCGACAGCUCUUAAACGUUGAUCUAGAGUAUUUGGAGUACCUAAAAUAAAUUUUUAUUAUUUUUAAUAUUUAUUUUGCUAGUGACUCGAAUGGCUGCAAAUCAACAAAUUUCAAUUGGCCGUUAGUGAGCCUUGCAGUUUAACGGUAUAGAAAUAUUCACAAUCACGUGAAUUUUGAUAGAAAAUUCUUUUAUACCUAUAUAAAACAAGAUCCAUUAUUUUAAAUUUAAAUUUUAAUGUCAUAUUAUUACAUUUUGUAAGAUUUUAUAUUUCAACCGUUGAUUUGCAGCCCCCUUGUUCACAUAGGCAAAUGGAUAUCGUAAAUCAUAAAUUUAUUUUUCUAGCGUACUUCAAAUCUCUAGAUCAAGUUUUAACCGGAGCCGAUCGACGCAUUCGAACAGUCGCCAACAGUCGAAAACGAGCUGGAAGCAUGGAAGGCUCACGUGCUUCCGAUAGUAUAGCUCACUCAUAUAUAUAUACUAUAUAUAAUAUAUAGAUAUAUACUAUAUAUUAUAUAUAUAUAUAGAUAAUUAGGCUGGUAAUACUAUUUAAUAGUUAAACGCUCUUUUGCUAUCAAGUUUAACCAUUGGUAUAAAAUUGUAGAUCAGGAUGAUAUUAGCGUCGGUCUAGAGUUUGAUGGUCCUCAGGCUGAGUGGUCCCCACUGGGUAUAUAGUAUUUAAUUCAAUGGUUAGAAAUUAAUGCAAAGAUGUGAUCCAAAGGUUUAAAAAACUGGUAGCAACAAUUGGAUUUUGCUCUAAUGUGAGUAGUUCCAUCCAACUCUCUCUCCUAUCUCUUCUCUCUCUCUCUCUAUAUAAUACUAUAUAUAUAUAGGUCAAGCAGCGCGAUUAUAUAUGGUCCGGCUUGCUAUCACUAUCGGUUGGCACGGAGGCUUUUCGUCCUCCACAUGUUGUGUUCGAUAAUGCGGCUUUCAAUCGACGAUCGCUCGUUAGACUUGAUCUACACUUAUUAAAGUAAUUUGGAAAAACUAAAUUUCAAAUUUUUUCGAAUCAUUUGCUAGUUGAUCAAAAGAUCUCAAAAUUGUGCAAUUUUAAUUUGGCCAAUGUGGGUAUUUGUGAGUUUAGCAGUAUAAAAUAAUCCAACAUCCGCAUGAAAAUUAUUAUUUAAAAAUUUUUUUUUCAUCUAUUUAGAAGUAAGAUUCAGCAUAUCUGAUCUUGAAUUUAAAUAUUUUAUCAUCAUUUUUUAUGAGGUUUUUAUUUUCAGCCGUUAAAUUUUAGACUAAUUGUUUGAUAGGUAAAUGAUACUCGAAAAAUUAUGAAAUUUUAGUUUUCUAAAUACUUUUAAUAGUGUUAGAUUCAAGUCUUCGGAGCCGAUCGUCGAUUUGAAUAAGCCGUGCAUCGAAAACACUAUGUAUAAAUUAAUUAACACAGCAGGCUCGUGCUCUCCGAUAGAUAUAGAGCUUACCGGACUAUUAUAUAUAUAUAUAUAUAUAUCUAUAUAUAGAGAGAGAGAGAGAGAGAGAGAGAGAGAGAGAGAGAGGCUACUAUGCUUCUGGAAGUACGGAGCCUUCCGUGCUUCCAGGUUGUUUUCGAUGUUGCGACUUUCGAAUCGUCGAUCGGCUCCGUUAAAUUUGAUCUAGAGUAUUUAAAGUAUCUAGAAAAUAAAUUUUAUGAUUUUUUGAUAUCAUUUGCCUAGUGAACGAAGGGGCCCAAAAUCAACGGUUGAAAAUAAAAAUCUUACAAAACAUGAUAAUAUGACAUUAAAAUUUUAGAUCAAAAAUAUUGAUCUUGUUUUAUAUAGUAUAAAGAAUUUUCUCUCAAAAUUUCAUGUGAUUUGAAUAUUUCUACACUGUUAAACUUGCAAACGGCCUACUACGACCAUUAAAAUUAUUGGUUUUGAGCCCUUCGAUCACUAAGCAAAUGAUAUCGAAAAAUCAUAAAAUUUAUUUUCUAGGUACUUCAAAUACUCUAGGUCAAGUUUAACGGAGCCGAUCGACGAUUCGAAAGUCGCAACAUCGAAAACGGCCUGAAAGCACGGAGGGCUCAGUGCUUCCAAAAGUAUAGUAACCUCACUCAUAUAUAUAUAUAUAUAUAUACAUAUAUGUAUAUAUAUAUAUACAUAUAUGUAUAUAUCACUCUAAUAGUAGAUAAUAAGUGUGAGCUAAAUGCCAACCGUCUCUAACGCUAUUGGCUAAAGGCUUAAUAGUUGNUAUAUAUAUAUAUAUAUAUAUAUAUACAUAUAUGUAUAUAUCACUCUAAUAGUAGAUAAUAAGUGUGAGCUAAAUGCCAACCGUCUCUAACGCUAUUGGCUAAAGGCUUAAUAGUUGAUAUAUGAGAUUUCAAGUUUGAAGCCUACUUGGUUCACAUUUCUAGUUGAAUUCAUUUCUAGAAUAUGAAGGAAGCGGGUAGCAUGCUAUUUUUCUCUCAAAAGAAAAAAAAUUAAAUAUGAUGUUAGAUAUUUUAAGGUUCUAAAAUGAAAAUUUAUUAUUUUUCCAAAAUAACUCUAGUUCAUUAAGUAACAAAAUGAAUGGUUCAAAUUGAACAAUCUUAUAGAAAUAAAGGAUCAAAUUCUUCAAUUUAAGGUUAAGGCCAAGACAUUGUUGAUGCUGAUUUAGAUAUGUUCAAAAAAAAUUGUAGCAAAAAGUCAAAAAAUACCAAAUGCUUCAUGCUUUACUUAAUUAAAAGAUGAUGUCAAAAGAAUCAUAUAAUUUAGUUUCUCAAGUAUUCAAAUAUCGUGGAUCAUAUUCUGUAGUGUUGAUCAUCCAAUUAUAUAGAUGCUUGAUCAUCCAAAAUUAGCCGAGCAAUUAUGUAUGAGACUUUUCAUAUCUAAUAUAAUAUGGUUCAUAUAUUAUAUAUGUUUAAUGCAAGGUACCUAUUUUGUCCUAUGUAGUUUAAUACCAUUGUUUGGUGGAAUUAAUUAAUUGUCCCUUCUAUUUGAUGGACAUCUUGUUUCCGGAAUUAGGAGAUACUUUACAGAGCAGUUAAUUAAUAAACCUGAUUUGAUAGUUCAUUCAUGAGUAAAUGAUUACGUACCCGAGAAGGUCCCCUGAAAUUAAUACUGCAGUUUACUUAACAUUUAUUUAGUGCCAGUUAAAAAUGCAAGGGUUUGCUUAAUUGGUUCUGUUGUAGCGUGUAAUGCUAUUCAAAUAACGUUGUCGAAAUCAUUUAUGUUACGAUGAGGUCUAAAGCAAUACCAUCUGUGCAUUCCUUUGCUAGCUAAGAAAAAUUUUACACCCCACUUACCUGAAGACCAUUUUCUUCAAACUAGUCUUAUCUUCUUUUUUUUUUUAACUAAAAACCUAAUUUUUAUGUUUUGUGAAUCCUAGAAUCUAAGAGGUGUAAGAUCUAUACUAAUAAACAGGUGUCCGUAGCAUUUUCCUAAGUUCUAUGCUCAAAUAUCCAUAUCAAUUCUUCUUGUUAUAGCAGAAUUAGAAUUAUCAGAUUGAAACUCGUACACAAUGAAUUAGAAUCUCAUUCGUACUCUUGGUACAUUAGAAGCACUAUAUAUUUUUCUUUGUCGAAUACCAAAUACGAAAAGUUACUGAUGCAAAAGCAAAAACAGAAGCACAGACUAUGCAAAUCCAAGAACGUUAAUUUGCACCAAUAAAUCAUCAGGUAGAGAUGCAUACCCAUAUCCAAGAAACUUUAUUCCAUCCAAUUUAAAACUACUAAUUAAUCUUAAUUAUAUCAUCUAAAGGUGUGAUAUGAAAUUACAGACUCAUCAGCAACAUUUAAGUUGAUCUUUUGGCGUACACAUUGCAGUACUAACUCCCAAUUGAGAGAGAGAGAGAGAGAUAUAGAGAGAGAGAACCAGCCGACACAGCUUAAGAAAGAGGCUUCUCACACGUGCCAUGUAAGAGAAAAAGGGCAAAAUAAAAUAUAAAAUAUAAUUAAUCCACCACGUACGUUCCAAUGGAGCUUGUCACCCAAGCGUGCGAGGUUCGACAAGACCUUGUCCGAGUGGGUAGAAACGGUUGGAGUUGGUUGGACUAAGGAUAAGGGGAUCUACUAGUGUGACCCAGUCACCAUAAAAUGCCCCUAUCAUUUUCCCUAUUGACUCUCCUAUCCUCCUUGCUUUGAGUGGCAACACCUCGUAAUAACACCCAACUCUAGGCCUUGUGAAAACCCCGCACCUUCCAAUCCUUUUCAAAGAGUUGGAUGAGAUUUAAACAGUGGUGUAGAAGAAUAAUAGAGUGCGUGCAUUAUUAAUAUCUCUAUCCUUCACAUAUGAACCUUUGCUACUUAAAGAUGUUCUUGUACAUCUAACCAAAACAAGCCCAAUAAAUACUAACUCUUAUGCAAGGUUUAAUUAUCAAAUUUUAGCAAGGAUUUAAUGGAGGAGAACCUUCCUCCGGGGUUCAGGUUCCACCCUACAGAUGAAGAGCUCAUCACUUACUAUCUCACCCGCAAGGUCACGGAGUUUGGAUUCGUCGCACGUGCUAUUGCCGAUGUCGAUCUCAACAAAUGCGAGCCUUGGGACCUCCCUGGUAUGCGCUUCUAUUCGUUGUUCGUUCGCGUCAACCGAUUCCCUCUAUAAAUGUGAAAACUUCUUCAAAAAGCAACUAACAAAUUUUUUUUUUCUAUCUUCAAUUGUAAAAAUUGCAUUAUUUAUCUAUCAAUAUGUGAUUAUGUUCUUAUGUGUGCAAGAGUAGUUACAAUGUUUGCAUUGCUUUUGCGAUAUUGUAUUGUAGGGAAGGCGAGCAUGGGGGAGAAAGAGUGGUACUUCUUCAGCAUGAGGGAUCGAAAGUACCCGACGGGGCUGCGCACGAAUCGCGCGACCGACGCCGGGUAUUGGAAGACCACAGGCAAGGACAAGGAGAUCUUCCACUGUGGUGUUUUGGUUGGCAUGAAGAAAACCCUAGUUUUCUACAAAGGGAGAGCACCCAAAGGUGAAAAGACCAACUGGGUCAUGCAUGAGUACAGGCUCCAAUCCAAGUUUCCCUUUAGAACUACAAAGGUAAUUAAAAAGCUAAAAACAUAUGGGAGCCAACUACCUAACUAGCCAACUAACCACUAUAUAUCUCACUUUUAAACCACCAAUAACUAAUAUUCACCUUUAUAUUUGCCCUUUUAGGAGGAGUGGGUUGUUUGUAGGGUCUUCAAAAAGAGCUCCAUACUAAAGAAACCGCAAGCAGGUUCUCCACCACUGCCGUCGUUGCUCGAGUCUCCAUGCAACACCAACUCGCUGAGCGAGCUCGGAGAAAUCGACGUAUCGGUGUUGAACAAUCUCAUGAACGCCUCGAGCUCGACGAGCGAUAUACAAGCUAAUGAGAAUAUCAGUAACAAGGUUGAUAUGAGCACGUACAUGCACUGGGUUCUGGCUAGAGAAGCUGCUGCUAGCCAGAAUACGCUGCCUUGGCCGCCGAACUUGUUAGGCUCGGUCUUGGCGAGCAAUCCUGGGAUUCUGAAGGCGCUGCCGCUGAUCAAUUGCUACAAUCAACCCAGAGAAGGUACAAAUCUUGCAAAUUUAAGCUCUUUUGUAGCACAUGGAGAUGGGAUCUUUGCGAAUGAAUCGAAAUUAAGCUUCAAUGGCUCUUCAUCUAAAGGAGCGGAGUGUGCACAGCAACAGCAGCAGCAGCAGCAGCAGCAGCAGCAAGAAGCAUUUGAUCAGGAAGCAAUUUGGAGAGGCUAUUAAUAGUGUGAACAUGACUAACAAGCAAUUUGUUAUAUGUACCUCUUUAUAUUAUUUAUAUAUCUUAUAGGUGAUUCUCUAGCCAAAAAAUAUAUAUAUAUAUAUGUAGCGUAAAUGGGAACAAACCCACAAAGCCUUUACUAUUAUAUUGUCGGUUAAAAACUGCGAGUUAUACUGUUGUUCUAAUUACAUGUUCAAGCAUUAGGCAUUGCCAGAAUUAAAAAUGACAAUGUAUAACAGUGCCAUUGUCAUUUAUACAAUAUAUACAAAUGAUGCAUGCAUAGAAAGUUGUUGAUUUAAAACUUUUAAAUAGUAUUUUUGAAAGCUAUGUGUUUAGUUUCUUAAAUUUUAAAUAGUAUUUUGGACCUUAUUGAGCCCAUUGGGCUUUUGAAUAGGCCCAAAGGUUUGGGCCCGCAUGGGAAGGUGUUGAGACCUAUCUUGUGCUUGAUUUUUAGUCCUACAUUGAGAUAAGAAAGCUCUAUAGAGGAAUUCAUAUACACCCCCACACUCAUUACUCUCUGUUAGAAGCUUAGCCCGUUCACCAUCUAGUCCUACCAUGAAGUUGUGAUCAUGAAGUAGAGGGGCUUGGCCCCUGGUUCGUUGUAUCGCUAGAGGCGUCGUCAAGUUCUAUAGGUGAGUGGAGCUACUUUCUAAAUUUAAGGUCUAUAGGUGAGGGGCUAAGCCCGUAUUUCGUAGUAUCACCUCUUGUGCUGAUGGAAGCAGACGGGGCUUGGCCCCUAGUUCAUUGUAUCACUAGAGGUGGUCGUCGACUCUACGUUAAAAGCUCAGUCAGUACACUAUCUGGUCCUACUACGAUGUUGUGCUGAUGAAGUAGACGGGGCUUUGGCCUCUUGUUCGUUGUAUCACUAGAGGUGGUCGUCAAACUCUACGGAUGAGGGGGGAUAAUGUUGGAUUAUGUAAAGUAAUGUUUCGAGUCGAUAUCACGGUAAAAACAGCGAAGGUUUGAGGUUUUUGGAUGUUGGGUAUUGGUACUUGAAGUUUUCGUACCGGUACUAUUGAGUACCUCAGCAGUUUCUCAAAAUCCAAAAGCUGAAAAAAUAAUUUUUUGUACUGAGUACCGGCCGGUACACGACUUUGUACCAGUACGCAGUUCUCCAUUUUUUGUACUGAGUACUGGUACAAGACUUUGAGUACCGGCGAUAGGUUAGAUAUGUAGAGUUUGACUCUAAUUGGAUCUAAUUUUGUUCCAAAAUAUUAGGGAUAGUCCAAGAUUACUUAAAGAGGAUUUCUAAGAGAUAUUGACGGUUAGAUAUGAAUCGGAGACUUGGAUGGAAGGCAGAGAUCGUUUCCUAUUAGAAUUGGGGUUUUAAGAUUAUAUAAACUCUUGUAAUUAAUCUUUUAAGUAGAUUAUGAGUUUCAUUAUAGACACCCUAAUUGAGAGAAAAACGUGAAGAGCUCCUGAGGAAGUUUCUUGUAAUCCAAUCUAAUUCUUUGUACUUUUGAGCCGUGGAUUAAUCGAAGAAAGUAUUGAUGUGGUCUUGUCCGUGGACGUAGGUCGACUCAUGAUUGGCCGAACCACGUAAAUCUUGUAUUCUUGUGAUUUCUUGUUUUCUUUAUUACUUUGCUAUCCUUGUGUUUGUUUUUCUACGAUUGUUCUCGUCUCUUACGUCUACAAAAGAUCCUAUUUUCGCUGCGCUCAUAUGCUUUGUGGGUUUGAGCUGUGCUCGGCAACCUCACGUCCGGUCCCUUCAGCUAAGUUUCUAAAUUUAAGCUCUGUAGGUGAGGGGCCACACCCCUAGUUCAUUGUAUCACUAGAAAUGGUCGUCAAGCUCUAUAGAUGAGGGGGCUGCUUUUCUAAAUUUAAUUUCUACACAUGUUGAAGUACUAUAAUUUAGCAAUUACAUUACAAAACAUUAAUACUUCUAUCAAAACAUUGAUGCAUAGUUGUUUUUACGGUAGUUAAUAUGUCGUUGCAAACACACAUGACAUAUGCUAGAUAACCACUAUUCUGCCAAACUAGCCAACUCUAAUGGUCAAAAUUUUAAGUGGUGGCAAAAUCAAAUGAGAUUCUAGCUCACCAUCCUUGGCCUCAUAUCAGGUAUAUCCACCCUUUAAUUGGACCAUAGUAAUGGGUCCCCUGCACCUAGACCCUUACAACAUACUCCACAUUAUUGUGCUUCUCAUGAUAGAGGCCGGAGUAGUGCCAUUCCUUCCGAAAGUAAUGCCCCGAUCAUCUCUAUAGUUAGUCAUCAGCAGUUAGACUAUUAUUGUCUUAAUACAAUACUCGAUACCUUAUCUAAUAAACUAUUAGAUCUGUAGUAUCAUAUUAAAACUGCUAGAAAACUAUGGACACUACAACAAAAAUGGUGUAUAGCGACACUUUUAAAUGUUGGUAUAGGUAAAAAAAAGUGCUGCUGGCUAAAUUAUCUACACUUUUUAAAAGUGUUGCUAUAUGUGGGUCGCUAUAGGUAGAGCUGCCUUGAUAUUUGGCACACACUUCUCCAGCGACCUGUGACCGAGGGAUACGUGACGACCAUAGUCCCCUACGGUUCCUACGAGAUUCUCGCAGUCGAACUCUAGCCGCCGGAACCAUAUCUCGUCGGCUAUAGCAGCGGAGGAGGAGAAAGGGAGAUAGUAAUCAAUUUUUCUUUUUUUUCUUCGGUUGGUUGAGUAGAAGAACUUUUUAUUUUGGAUUGGAUUGGAUUUUAUUUUUAGGCCUUAAUAAAUUUUUAAAAAAAGUUUAAGCAUAAAUAGGACACUUAUAUAAAAGUGUCCUAAAAAUGUGUUUCUAUAGUCUAAUUCUAUUAUAGUGACUAUUCUAGAACAAAAAUUUGGUCAACCCGAUCCUCCCCAAAAGAGAUAGAAAUCUAGCGACCCGAUCAACUUCAAACUUGUAGACAACAAAUUGAUGAAAGAUGAGCUUAUAGAAUUUGAGUACAUAUAUAGUAAAACAACUCAAAACUAACCGCGUGAUUUUAGAUGAGGUUUAUCUAGUAGCUCUCUUGAUAGAGAAGCCUUAGAAGCCAAUAGGGAUGAUACUUUUUUAUUUCUUUGGGACACAUUUUUCUACUUGAUCUUGAUUAUUUAUAUAUAUUUAGAGUGCCAUCUAUUCUAUUCAACUUUAAUGUGUUCAUGAAUUGUCUAUGAAUUAAUAAGAUUGUGAAGUCUAAUCUCAAGAUACAUACUAUAAGUGAUUAAUUAAUUUUUAAAUGCUCUCUGUCUGUGGAUUGUCAUAGAGAACGGUGAUUGUCAGGUUAGAUUGGUGUACAUUAUAAUAGAUAUAUGUUGGUUGCAGUGGGUUUAUAUUAGGAAUGAGUGUGUGAUCACUCUUAGUAGAGAGAUAAUUAAUUUUAUGCUUUAUUUGUAAGGCACGACUCAUAAACUCUCAAGCGAGAUAAUUAAUAUAGUGAAUGGAAAGGAGUUUUCGAAGAUAAUAUAAGAGCUUUUGUUCUAUCAAAUUUGUCAUAGAUAGAUGAUGUGAUUUGACAAGUAUUUUAUAACCUCCACUUAGUCGAGACUAUGCGAUAGAAAGAUUAUAUCGUAUAGUAAUUGCACCAAAAGCUUUAGCCCAAUAUUCUCUUUUGACUGGUUUGCAACUAUAUGCUACUUGGCGUCGUUAGUAGAUUGUGAGACCUGUGAGAAAAAUUAUAAAUGAUUAAUUAAUUAUUCCAUGAGGCCAGGGUGGAAUCAAAAGGAAUUUUGUUUCAUUGAAGGGAGUUUCGAUGAUGACUAUCGGGUAAUUUAAUUGCAAUAAUAGUGUUGAAAAAAAGUAUUUAGUUUACCAAGUCAUUAGUAAAGAGACUAAUUUGGACGAGUUAAAAAUUAGGGGUCUUAAAAUGCAAAAGUUGCAUGGUAUAUUUACCAAACCUUAGUGGAUAGUACAAAGACUUAUAUGUAAAUAUUACAUGUGGAAUUAUAGUUUCAGUUUAAAUUAUGUGAGAACCAAUUCAAAGGCUUAGAGAAUAUCCAAUAGGAUUAGGAUUAGGAUUAGGAUUAGGAUUUUUGCACUGUAAAUACAUAUCGUAAGAUAUAUUGGAUAUGACUUAUGAUAGAAAGAGAAAGCCCUAGCCAUAUAAUAUAACCACCAAAGGUUUUAAUGAUAAUAAUAAUAACUAAGAUUAGGACCAAAUAUCGGAGCGGCCUCGAGCGGGCCCAGCCCGGCACUGCUAGAGGCCGUGAUGGGCCGCCAUCAGAGGUCCCGCGGCCCAGCAUGGGCCGUGCCUACUGGCCCGGUGUGGCCGGGUAACUUUUUAAAAUUAAUAAGUACAACAUUUAUUAUAUUAAUAGAAUAAAAAUUUAAACAUGAAAUCAGAAAAAAUAAAAGAUUAAAAAAGUUUAAUUAAAAAGGGUAAUGGGCCUUGGGCGGUCCGGUCCCAAGGAGGCAGGGGGCAGGCCACCAAAGGAGAAGGGGAAAAAGUCUCUUCUCUAGGAAUUUUUUUAAAAAAAAUUGAGUUUCAAUAUUUUGACUAAAAUACUUUCCAACAGUCAGAAAAACCUAACUUAUUUUAGUAUUUCAAUUUUAUGAAUUUUAGAAAUUAAUAAAUAAUGGGCCAACACUCGCCUGACCAGGCAUGGCCUGGUCUGUGCUAUCUGGGCCGGAGGCCGUGCUCUAGAGUCUGAAAAUUCCAGGCUGGCCCGACACGACCCAUAUUACACCCCUAGCUGCCCCCCUCCUAACGAAAAAUUCUAGAAUGCACCAGCGAUAUUACUAAGGUGGCGUCCCCAUAUUUCUCGCCUUGGCUAAUGAAAUGUAUUUAGUUCGGCAACCGAAUUCGUUUGCAAGCUUUUGAGUUCAACUUUUUUUACGCAUUGAGGAAGGACCCGUUGAGCCGAUCCCUACUCAACCUAUCGCCUGAUCACAUCACCGAGGGUCAUUCUAAAAGCCGAAUCAUAAAUCGAAGAAAAUUUUGACUCGGACAUUAUUCCAGAAAUUCGACUCAAGGAGAACAAUUUGAAAAAAAUAUAAUAAUAAAUUAUAGAAAAUGAUGUAAAAGAAAUUCUAUAAAUUUUUAAUUAUAUUUAUUUAUAAUUACAUUAGAAAAUAAAUAAUAUUGGCAAUUGGGAAGCAGAGUGAGUAGGAAAAAAAAAAAUUUAGAAUGUAUCGGAUAUAUUGCUGACGUGACGUCUUCGAUCAAUAAAAUUAUUUUCCUAUAAAAAAAUACUAUUAAUUUAUUAUUGUUGAUACAGUAAGGCUUCGUUUGGGAUUGCGGGGAGAUUGCGUUACUGUUGAUAUCCUGUUUUGCGUUCCGCAUAUCGCGAUGAGUCGGUUACGAUAUAUUUUCUACGGUCCCAUCGGAGAACGCAGAAGCAUAUCCCUAUAUGCUUUUUUCUCAACUCUAUUUUAUGUAAUAGCGUUAGAUAUAGCUUAAUACUAAACUAAGCCUAAGUAAGAGUAAGGGUAAAAAGAGAAAGAAAUAAUGAGUUUAAUAAUGUAAAGGAUUGUUGCGUAAAGCUGCGAACAAAAGUACGCAGCUUCCUCAUCUGGCUUUCAUGACUCUCUUCUCAACUAAAGCGGAAUCUUAAGGCACGUGACCCGCCACGUGGAUCUCAAAUGGCUCUUCGAUCUCCACACUCUUGUCUUCUACCUCCGCGUGUCACAAUGCCACCACCUGACACAUUGUGAAUUGACCAUUAUGCCCUUGUUUUUUUUUUAGUUUCUACUGUUGCUAGGAAAGAUUAAAAAAAAAGGAAAACUUUAAAUACAAUUCAUGUGAUUUCACACUUUUUCACUCUAGUAUUCUGUGAUUUUAUUUUUAUCUUUUUAUUAUCGAUUCCACUAAUUAAUUUUUUUUAUUGAAUUAAUGACAAAAUUAAAACUAAAGGAUACUAAAGUGAAUAUUCGAUAAAUUUAGGUUGGGUAUCUGAAAUUUUUUAUAUAUAAUUUAACGAAAUAUUAACGAAAAAGCUGACGAAAAAAUAAAAUUAAUGAAACCAUAGGACACUAACUUGAUACACUUUAAAACACAGGGUACUAAAAUGAGAAAGCGCGAAACCACGGGGGUGGUAUUUGAAGUUUACCCUAAAAAAAGGAAAAAAACUUUAAAUACCACAUAUGUGGUUUCAUGCUUCUCACUUGAAUACUCUAUAAUUUUAAGUUUAUUACUUUAGUACCCUAUAAUUUCUUUUUUCUUUUUUCGUUAUCCCUUCUGUUAAUUUUUUCGUUAAAUCAGUGAGAAAGUUAAAACCACAUGGUACUAAAGUGAAAAUUCGAUAAAUCACAGAAUUCUAAAGGGAAUAUUCGAUAAACCAUAGAUGAGAUAUUUGAAGUUUUUUCUAUAUGAUUUAACGGAGAGUUGACGGAAGUGCUGAUGGAAAGAGAAAAACGAAACCAUAUGAUAAUAAAGUGAUACAUUUUAAACCACAGGGUACUAAAGUAAGAAAGCGUGAAACCGCAGGAAUGGUAUUUAAAGUUUUUUUUUUUUUAAAAAAGAUAAUUGUUUAUAUAGCUCUGAAAAGUUUCAAGCUUACUUAUUUCCCCCAUUUAAAAGACUAAUAUAAAAAAUAUUUUUUUAACGAUCCAAAUUCUUUUAAAUAUAUUCAUAUUAGAGUUAAACUCUGUUAGUAAAUUAUUACGAACAUCAAUUAUUUUUUGUGAAAUUAUUAUUUUGUACUUUCAAAUAUACCCUUCUACCGCCACCAAUUUUUCUUAUUUAUCCUUAAGUUAGGAACAAAAUAAAUUUUUUUAUUCUUUUGUCCUUUCAAAUGUAUAUUCUUCUACCGUUCCUUUUCUUGCUUACCCUUAAGUUAUGGACAAAAGAUGUAUUUUAACUUCUUUUUAACUUUGGCAGCAAUUUAACUCGAGUUUGAGUGGGUGGUUAGUUGAAUAGUAUGAUCUAAUUGAUAGAAAUGAUCGAAGAGAUAAAUCUAAUGGCAGAAAAUUUGAUAACACCAAACGCUUAAUAGUAUCAAUAGUAUAGUAGCCGGACUCUCUAUCUCUCUCUCUCUCUAUAUCUAUAUCUAUACUACUUAUAAAAGCGUGAGUUUUAAAUUUUUUCCUCUUUCCAAAAAUAACUCUAUCUUUUCUACUAAUAUUUUCAUGUCCAGUAAUUUUCAACCAUUCGUUUCAAAUAAUUUUUCGAAUAAUAAAUUAUUCUCAAAUAUAGAUCUUAAGUUUUUAUCAUUGAAUAUCAUCCAACGAUUAAAAAUAAAAGUAUCUGUCACUUUUCUUGACAAAAAUACCCUCAAUAUCCAUUCACUCCUAUCUACGCGUUUUACAAAUAUCUACGCAUUUUCUCAAACGUAAUUUUCGUCAUAACUUAAACAUUAUAUCCUAUUUACAGCGUUUCUCAAAUAUUUUCUUUCUCACACGUAAUAUCAGCGUCAAUCACGUAGAAUGUUCAUAGAAAGAUUUAAUACCCACCUAAACAAAACUAAAUUGUUAAUUAAAUAUAAUUUUACAUUUUUGAAUUUUUUUAGUAAAAUAUUCAAAAGCAAUACCUGUCAAACUAUUUUACGUGUUUCUCAAAUACAGAGCAUAUCUUAAUAUACUCGCAUAUAAUAUCUAAAUAUCUUUACAUAUAAUACGUACACUAUCCAAUCUUAUCUUUGCAUAUAAUAUCUAUACUAUUCAAUCUUAUCUUUGCAUAUAAUUAAUAUCUACACUAUCCAAUCUUUUCUUGUCAUAAUAUUUAUUCACACACAGAAUAUAUUUUUUUUGAGACAUAUUUUUUUAGUAAUAUCUUUUUUAUUUUCACCUAUAUUUUUCUCAAAUAUUUUUUUUAGUAAUAUCCUUUCUCAUAUGUCCUUAUCGUUAACACCAGUACAUCGUAGUACAUCGUCAUCAUCGACACUGGCACAUUGUAACUUUCGCCACCUUCGUCAUCUGUCACGCCCCGGAUUACACUUUUCCCGGGCGCGCCGACAAAUCCGCUGUAUACAAAGGAAUUUUUCCUAUAUACGAAGCGAUAGCUGUACCUGUAAAACAAACGCUACUACGAACAGUAGUAGAGAGCUGCUAGAGAAAACAGAAGCUAAACAAACUGAGUUUCAUAUACAUAGUCCAAAUCCAAAAUACAAAGCUAC